rnacentral:lncRNA from 1 species
UUCCGCUCUAGCGCGGGCUUUUGAGCUCUGGACACCAGUUUGUACCUAAGUACCCAAUUCUAAACCAAAAUCUCCAAAAUAUCACUCUUCCAUCUUUUAAAUCAAAAUCUCAUACAAAGCAUAAAACAAACCCAUAAACGCACCAAUUUCAGAAUAUUUAACUACAAAUAAAUGUAAACCCCCAAAUUAAGAACAAGCAUAAUCACAUAACAUACAAUCAGCUGCAUCUUCUUGCAGAAAUCAUUAAAUCAAGGUUUUACCUUUAAACCCCUCUUUCAAUCUCUUCCAUUGACUAAUCAUGAUUCAAACACCAUUAGGACUUUGCAAAUCAACUCACCCAGUCAUACAAGAAAAACAAAGAAAUCAAAUUUUACAUGUUGUAUUGACUGAACAAGAGGAAUAAAAGUAGAUUGCAGCUGUAAAAAUUCAAACUUGAGUCUUGGUUUUGGUUGUUGAAUGUUGAGUGUUGUUGCUGACUGUUUGAAGUCGAGGGGCAGAAAACGGGCCGCGCGGUGGUGGCGGCUCCUCGCUGCUGUCGCCGGUAGUCGGAGCAAAGAAGAGUGGGAAUCGGUGGUCUCGGGGCUAGGGCUCAGACGGCGCCUCCGUUCGAAAGCCGAGCGGUGGUAGCUGGCCGGUGGUGUGUAGGUGUGCCCUAUUUUCAGUCGGAGAAAGAGAGUCGGGGAGGCGGCUAUAGUCGUCGGGGAUUGAAGAGAAAUACAAGGGAGGUGUCUAGAUCUAGUGCUCGGCGGCGGCGGCGGCUCCGUCGUCGUUUCAUCCGGAGCAAAGGAAAGGGAGGCUUUGGGGCGUGCGGCGGUGGCUGGCUUCACUAGCUGCUGCUGCUGCUGCUCGCCGGAAUCGGAGAAAAGGGAUUCGGUGUUGGGGAUUUAGGGCUGAGAAGAGAGGGAAGUCGGAGGAGAUAAGACGAGAGGCGGCGGUGGCCGGCUCUUCGCCGCUGCUACCGUCGACUGUGGAGUCGAGAGAAAUGGGGGCGAGGGAGAUGACUGACCGGCGGUUCUUCGCCGGAGGAGACAAGAGGUGAGGAGCGAGGGUGUGUUCCUGGUGACUAGUGUGUGUGAGGAGGAGAGGGACAAAAGGGGUGGGGGAGACGCAGGUGUGAGUGAGAGGGAGUGAUAAGGGGUUAGGGCUUGGACCUUUGGGUAUUUUGGGCUUUGUUUUGGGCUGCGUUUUAUUUCAAUUGGGCUGCUCAUAUUUUAUUUUGGGCUGCGAAUUUUUAAAACAAAAACAUGGGCUUCCACUUAAUUGUUAGACUUCUUAAAUUGAUUUAUUAAUUUGACUCUUUAAUUUGAGUUUAAUUAAUUAUUGUUAGAAAAAAAUUUGCAUAAUAGUAUUUUUCUUAUUAUGUGCAUAUGUUAUAUAUUUAUUUAUUAUACGUUUCAAGAACAAGGGAAAUUUGCAUCAAAAUUUUGGCAUAAAAUCAUUUAUGAUUAAAUUGACUUUAUUAUUAAUCCAAUUAUUAAGAAAAUCGAGUAAAGAUAUUAUUGGUGUCCUUAGCUCAAGAGUUAGUUUUCAAUUAUUAUUUAUUAAAUUUUGAAAAUUCGGCUAAGUGAAUCAUAGGAUGAUAAGCACUUCACUAUGACUUAAGAUUAGAUUCAGAAGACCUAUUAAGAUUAUAGAUUCCUUAUAGGCUUUGUGGAUCGUGAGGACUAGCACUGCUAUACUGUAACACCCCGCAGUUUUCCUUAUUAUUUAUUUUGAGGAUUCGCUAUUAGAGUAUCGAGAUUCUAGCAUUAGCUUAUUAGGGAUGAGAAUUUUUUUUAAAUGAGAUUGAGAUGUGGAUAUUUUUGAAGUUGAUGAUAGAACUAGUGGGUGAAUCUUUAAUAGAAUGAAUUUUUGAUAGAAAUGCUGAUUAAAUUGAGGAGAUGAUGUAGUUUAUGUUUCCGAUAAAGAAAGCUUAAUUAUUUUUUAGAUGAUUUAUAGUGUUAAGUUAAGAGGAUACCUGGCUAGAUAUAGAGCCGAGGUGAGUGAGUGAGACUUACUAUAGAGAUAUAGUCGGAUUCGGGAGAUGAGUAAAUUGACGUGAGAUCUAGACUAUUUUUUUUUUGUGACAUUUGUGUGAUUUGUGUGAGAUUAAUUGUUUGACUGUUAUGUGACUUAUUUGUUACGUGCGCUUGUAUGACUGAGUGAUUAUGAUGUUCUUGAGAAUUAUAGCAUGUGAGAUUUACUUUGAAAUCUUUUACGAACGAGAUUUAUUUUAAACGGUGAAUAAUAAUAUCACUAGUGAAGAUAUAAUUUUUUUUAAUGAAAUUUCUCGGGAUUAUUUUUUUGAGAUAAAUGUGAAGUGAAUUAUGUGUGUGCACUAAUUAUUAGUGUUAUUUUAUUUUGGCCACAUGAGUGCAUAAGAAUAGUUUUUAUUUUAAUCAGUGAGUGAUAUUACAUGAUUUAAUUUUACUACACAUUCCUACACUCACACAUACAUUAUUUUAAUGAAUUUAGCAUGUGUUUUAUUUAAACAAGUGGCCAAGUGGGCAAGUGGGAUUUAAUUAAACAUUUAUCUAAUUACUAACUUAGUGAGCAAGCAUACUACACUAAACAAAACAAUUUUUCUCUCCCAUUUCCUCCCCAUUCUCAUGCCCUCUCUCACUCUCUCUUCUCCCUCACUUCUUUCUCUCACUUCCUCCAUUGCUGAGCAAUGUUCAAGCUUCCAAGAUCACAUUUCCACCAUAGAUCUUCACUAAAUCAAAUCAAAAACUUCUUUUCCUUUGAAUCAAGAGCUAGGUUGAUGGAGUUUCAAGCUUGAAGUUAGAGAGAAGAAAUUGUCAUUUCUCUCAAAAUCUUUGAGUAAGUGUUUACAUCUCAUAGAUCUAGACUCUAUGGUGUUAUAUAUGUAUGCUUGAAGCAAGAAAACACCCCCUCUUCUCUUUCUUAGAUUUUCAAAAAUUUAGGGGUUUUCCCCUUCAAAAAAUUUUCUUAUUCUUUUCUUAAUUUGGCAUGAGAUCUAUGCUUAUUGAGGUGUUUUGAGAUGAUUUCUAUGUGUAUAGAAAGGUGUUAGAAAGAACUAUGGAUUUUGAGUUAGUUUAGUUUACCUAAAAUUUGGAUAUUUUGAUUCUAGGGGUUAAUUGUUAAAUUGAUGGAUGAUAACUGCUAUUGAGGGUAUUAUUAUGAUAUUAGAUGGAUUGGAUUGAUGAUUGAGAUGGAUGGAUGGAACUUGAUGUGAGUUAGUUUGUUGGAAAUUAGGGAUAUUUGGUUAUGAGCUUCAUUAUGUAAAUUGAUGAUUUAUAUAUGCUAUUGAGAUGUCUAAUAUGAUGAAUUAUGAGUGAGAUUGAAGAUUGUAAGUGAUUUGCAAAUUUCGGUAAGAGUUAGUUUGAUGUGAUUUGGGUAAAACUUAUUCUAUGGUUUAAUUGAUUAAUUGAUUGGUUAAUAAUGCAAUUAGAUGAUUCAAUUUGAUUAAUCAAAUAUUGGAUUAAUGAUUUAUGCAUGUUUGUAAAUUUUCAAAAAGUUUAGUUUGAUAUAAAUUAAGGCUUUUUGAUUUAUGUGUUAAUUAUGCAAAUUGGCUAAGUUUAAUUGUUAUUAAGCAUGAUAGAAAUGAUAAUUAGGGAUCAAUUUGGUUAAUUGUUAAGAAUAACUAAAAUUGGUUAAGUUUAGUUUACUAAUAAUUGGGAACUUUUGAUUAAUGAGAUAAAUACUUGAAUUGAUGGUGUUUAUGUGUUAGUUAGACUACUAGCAAGGAGAAAGCAUGAUUAAAUUAUUUAUUUAUAAUGAGUUAUGAAAAUUUCUCGAGUUUAGUUUGCGUGCAUACAUGAGAUCUUGUAUAUAAGAUGAGUUAUGAGUCAAGCAUGUCUAUAUGUGGCUAAUUGAUGAUAAGUUGAGCUUAUAUAUGCGAUAUGAGACGAAAUGAAUCAUCCCCUAAAAACCUAUGUCUUGACGAAUGGGAGCUAAAGAAGGGGAAGCCGAGUUUGAAUUUUCUUGAGUUAUAUGAUCAUGUAUUUAUAUUAUUGUGAAUUAUGUGAGCUUAAUUUGAAUUUUUGAGAAAUUUUCAUCGAAGAAAUCCGAAGUUUAGGUAUAAUUGCUUUUAUGGUCAAGUUUGGAGUUAUUUUGAGACCUUUUUAAAGGCCACUGACCUACUGUUUUUAACGAGUUUAUAAUACUCAAAAGUCUUGAAAAUUUUAUAGCAAGUAUAUAUGAGAAUCUCGAACACCUCGGUAAAAUUUCAACUCAUUUGGACCUCGUUUACUAUUUUUCUAAAAUAUAAAACCCCAACUACAAUAUUCUAACGAAAAUAUCGAAGAGCAGCCAAUAGAGUCACCUUUUUCAGUAGCUUCCCCUAACGUUUUGAUUUCCAAAUUUUUAUGGUAAAGAGGUUAUUGUGUUAGAUAGCUACUCACGAAAUUUCAAGCAUUUUCGACAAUGUUUACUAUUUUUCAAAAAUCCAAACUUUCAGUUGCACAAAACUGUCGGAUAUGGUAGACUGUAGGAGACCGGCCAUAUCUCUUCAAUCACUUGGAGUUUUUCAAUCUACUUUUUUUUAAAUGAAAAUAGACUCAAAGAGGUUUUCAUUGAUAUGAGUCACGAACCCAAGAGAUGUCCGAGGUGAAACGGAUUAAGAUUUUAGUUUGAGAUAGUGCAUAAUGACGGUUGUAUGUGAUAACUAGGCCUGUGAAUCGGGUCGGGAUCGGGUACCCUACCCGAAAAAAUUAGGUACCCGAUCCCGAAUAAGACCAAAAUCCUAUACCCGAACCCGAACCCGAAAAAAAAUCGGGUACCCUAAUACCCGAGUCGGGUAUUCGGUACCCUAAAUUACCCGGUCAAAAUUGAAUCUUUCCAGUCAAACAGUGAAAAUCGGGUAUUUCGGGUACCCGAAUUACCCGAUUUGGCUUAAUCGGGUACCCUAAUACCCGAAAUACCCUAUUUUUUUAUAAAAAAAUAAAAAAUGUAGCCUUUAUUUUCAGUCUUUCCCUAUAUAAUUGCAUAUGUUUUUAAUUCCAUGUAUUAACAAAUAGGGUUAAUUGCCGUUAAAUUCAAAAGUUUUUUGAGAUUUCGCGAUAUUCUCACCAACUUCAAAAUCGACGUAUAAAUACACCAAUUGAGAAUUCGUUCUUAAUGUUCCCAAAAUUAAAAAAUUCCCCCAAUUUGAAAUUGACAUGGACUAUCGUAAUUACAGCGUGGCAUAGUCGGCGGCGUAAGGAAACGACGUCGUUUUGAUUUCCAUCAACAUUAAAAAAAAGAAAAAAAAAUUAGGCAGAAAUCUCUCUCUCUCGCACACCACCGCCGCCACCGAGUUCUGGACUUCCAGCCACCACCAUCGCCGAGCUCUGGACUUCCAGCCACCAGACCACCACCACCGCCCAUUUCCGCCUGUUCUCAACUGUCAACAACAACACACACUCACCUACAACCGCCGCCGGUCCAUCUCUCUCUCGCCUUUUCACCGCCGCUCCGCAAAUCGUGGCCUCCCUUCCUUCAAAUCGCCUCACCAAAUUGCGGCCUCUCUUCCUUCAAAUCUCUCUCUCUUGCAGACACCUUCUUCCUUUCUCUCUCCUCUUCUCUUCCUUUCUAUUCUCCCAAAUUGCGGUUUCCGAAAUCGCGCCACCACCUCUCCGCCCUCCUCCACCUCCAAGACCACCGCAAUUCCCUCCCACCACCCACCACCCACCACCUCCAAGCGCCACCUCACCCUCCCCAUCUCCUCCUCCUCCUGCCGCCACCACGCUCUUCCACAACACCCGCUAUGCCGCCCUCCUCCUCCGCCACCUCUCCCCCCAAACCCCAGACGAAGAAACCACACUCUCCGCACCCAUAACGCCCGCUCUGCCGCCCUCCUCCUCCGCCACCUCUUCCCCCAAACCCCAGACGAAGAAAUUCACGAGAUUUCGCCGCUGAGCAAGAUGACUCCUCAAUUUCCGGGAUCAAUCUACGAGAUUUCAAAAGGGGCAAAUUUGGGGCAAAUUCAAGGAAUUGCCUGAGCUUUCGCGCUAGCUGCGUUUGCCUGGCCAGACGAACGACGGCGGCGCGUGGUCGUUUGUCGCCUUGUUCCGGCAGAUCACGGGAAAGGGAUGAGAGAGGGGAGAUGGGGUAGGUGGUCGGGGGGUUUGGGAAGGGGGUAGGUUUGGGGGGUUGGGAUGGAGGUAAGUUUUUUUUUUUUAAUUAAUUUAUUAAUAAAUUAUUAGAUUUUAUUAAAAUGAGAUUAUUAAAAAAAAUGAAAAAUUGACAUGUAGUAAUACCUAAUUGCCAUGUAUUUGACACAUAAUCAGUGAUUGCCACCUCAUCUCGCCGAAAUUAAUAAUUUUGGGAACAUUAAGAACGAUUUCUCAAUUCAUGUAUUUAUACGCUGAUUUUGAAGUUGGUGAGAAUAUCGCGAAAUCUCAAAAAGCUUUUGAAUUUAGCGGCAAUUAACCCUAACAAAUAAUAUAUAACAUCAAAUCAAAAAUCAACAAGCACAAAUCUCAACUCCCAAGUCUAAAAUUUUAAAUUAAAAUUGAAUUUUAAUUCAAAAUUUUACAGAUUUUUAAAUUAAAUUUAAUUAAAUAAUUUAAAAUUUAUUAAUUAAAAAAUCGUGAAUUUCGGGUAUACCCGAUACCCGNNNNNNNNNNNNNNNNNNNNNNNNNNNNNNNNNNNNNNNNNNNNNNNNNNNNNNNNNNNNNNNNNNNNNNNNNNNNNNNNNNNNNNNNNNNNNNNNNNNNNNNNNNNNNNNNNNNNNNNNNNNNNNNNNNNNNNNNNNNNNNNNNNNNNNNNNNNNNNNNNNNNNNNNNNNNNNNNNNNNNNNNNNNNNNNNNNNNNNNNNNNNNNNNNNNNNNNNNNNNNNNNNNNNNNNNNNNNNNNNNNNNNNNNNNNNNNNNNNNNNNNNNNNNNNNNNNNNNNNNNNNNNNNNNNNNNNNNNNNNNNNNNNNNNNNNNNNNNNNNNNNNNNNNNNNNNNNNNNNNNNNNNNNNNNNNNNNNNNNNNNNNNNNNNNNNNNNNNNNNNNNNNNNNNNNNNNNNNNNNNNNNNNNNNNNNNNNNNNNNNNNNNNNNNNNNNNNNNNNNNNNNNNNNNNNNNNNNNNNNNNNNNNNNNNNNNNNNNNNNNNNNNNNNNNNNNNNNNNNNNNNNNNNNNNNNNNNNNNNNNNNNNNNNNNNNNNNNNNNNNNNNNNNNNNNNNNNNNNNNNNNNNNNNNNNNNNNNNNNNNNNNNNNNNNNNNNNNNNNNNNNNNNNNNNNNNNNNNNNNNNNNNNNNNNNNNNNNNNNNNNNNNNNNNNNNNNNNNNNNNNNNNNNNNNNNNNNNNNNNNNNNNNNNNNNNNNNNNNNNNNNNNNNNNNNNNNNNNNNNNNNNNNNNNNNNNNNNNNNNNNNNNNNNNNNNNNNNNNNNNNNNNNNNNNNNNNNNNNNNNNNNNNNNNNNNNNNNNNNNNNNNNNNNNNNNNNNNNNNNNNNNNNNNNNNNNNNNNNNNNNNNNNNNNNNNNNNNNNNNNNNNNNNNNNNNNNNNNNNNNNNNNNNNNNNNNNNNNNNNNNNNNNNNNNNNNNNNNNNNNNNNNNNNNNNNNNNNNNNNNNNNNNNNNNNNNNNNNNNNNNNNNNNNNNNNNNNNNNNNNNNNNNNNNNNNNNNNNNNNNNNNNNNNNNNNNNNNNNNNNNNNNNNNNNNNNNNNNNNNNNNNNNNNNNNNNNNNNNNNNNNNNNNNNNNNNNNNNNNNNNNNNNNNNNNNNNNNNNNNNNNNNNNNNNNNNNNNNNNNNNNNNNNNNNNNNNNNNNNNNNNNNNNNNNNNNNNNNNNNNNNNNNNNNNNNNNNNNNNNNNNNNNNNNNNNNNNNNNNNNNNNNNNNNNNNNNNNNNNNNNNNNNNNNNNNNNNNNNNNNNNNNNNNNNNNNNNNNNNNNNNNNNNNNNNNNNNNNNNNNNNNNNNNNNNNNNNNNNNNNNNNNNNNNNNNNNNNNNNNNNNNNNNNNNNNNNNNNNNNNNNNNNNNNNNNNNNNNNNNNNNNNNNNNNNNNNNNNNNNNNNNNNNNNNNNNNNNNNNNNNNNNNNNNNNNNNNNNNNNNNNNNNNNNNNNNNNNNNNNNNNNNNNNNNNNNNNNNNNNNNNNNNNNNNNNNNNNNNNNNNNNNNNNNNNNNNNNNNNNNNNNNNNNNNNNNNNNNNNNNNNNNNNNNNNNNNNNNNNNNNNNNNNNNNNNNNNNNNNNNNNNNNNNNNNNNNNNNNNNNNNNNNNNNNNNNNNNNNNNNNNNNNNNNNNNNNNNNNNNNNNNNNNNNNNNNNNNNNNNNNNNNNNNNNNNNNNNNNNNNNNNNNNNNNNNNNNNNNNNNNNNNNNNNNNNNNNNNNNNNNNNNNNNNNNNNNNNNNNNNNNNNNNNNNNNNNNNNNNNNNNNNNNNNNNNNNNNNNNNNNNNNNNNNNNNNNNNNNNNCAUCACAGUAGUAUUAGGGUAUGUUCCUUUUUGAUAUAUAAUACCCCCUCCUUUUUAUGAAGAGGUCCCCGCAUGAGGAGAAUUUCUAUAGAGAUAUGUAUAUAUGAGAUGAUGUUGAGAUGGUCUUCAGAUUUUCGAUAAGCUUUCAUUAUACGCUCAAUUAUGUGAUGUCUGGAUAUAGAUAGUGUUUAAUAUGGAUUAUGAUCACAGGAAUAUGAUCUUAACAGUGAGAAUAGGAUUUUGCGAACCAAUGGUGUAUGAGGAUUUAUUCUAUGUUAACUUGUGUGUCUAUCUAGUAUGCCACCGAGAAGAAGAAACCAAAAUCAAGAAGAUGAGGACAAAGAUCCUAGAAAUCCUACACCGCCACCACUUCCAUAAAAAAUUCAUAAAAAAUAAAUAAAGAUUAUUUUACUAAAUCAGACACAUACAUUAAAAGAAUAAAAAUUAAUUGUAAGCUAAUAAACUUACCACCUAGAUUUUGCAUACCGGACGAAAAAGUUAAUUUCCUCAUCAACAGUUAUACAAAAAUUAUAUUUAAUUGCAUGUCGAAGAACAAAUUACUAUCUAUACGACUCCUCCAAUAUUGAAUCAACAUUUCCGUCAAUAUAAUUGAUUUCUUUAAAAUUGUGUGGACAAAAUGUGCAUCUAAUUUUUUGUUUUUUUAAAAAAACAUUAAUGUAUAUUGUACCCAACUAAACGUCAUUAUUUUUUUUUGAAUAUGUAUGUCAAUUAAUGCAUCAGCUAGCAUCUAAAACUUGCAAAUACUCAAUUCACAUUAAUUUUUUCAAUAUUUGUAUUAAAAAUGGAUUAACAAACUCAAGUAUAUAUAUAUAUAUAUAUAUAUAUAUAUGUUACAUUUUAGGAAAUAAAAAAGAAGUAAUAUAUGGAACUAGCCUAUUUCUUAUUGUAAAUUUAAAAAAUAGCCUUUGAGAUAAAACUUUAAAAAUUAGUCAUUUUUUGUGUAAAAGUACAAAACUAGCCCUAACAUAAAAAAUUGGUCAUUCUACUUCUCUCCCUCCCCCCACACCAUCACCUAUUUCAUUCUCUCUCUCUCGGCGGCAAACGCUUUUCUGAUGAAUAUUGCUACAAGCUAUUCAUUCCAAUUGCAUAUUCUGGUCAAACUUUUUUUAUUAUCAAAACAAGUGUGUUAUUGCACGAUUCCACAUACAUAUUUUGGUCACACUUCUUUUUUUAUUAGCAAAAUAAAAAUGCUAUGUCUUAAAUGAAGCAUAGCUUUUAACUGUUAGAAAAUGUUUGGUACGAAUGACGGGCUUAAAGAAGAUCAAGAAGGAGGAGACGAGGAAGAUUCAAAAUCUAUUGAAUAUAGCAGAAAGGAAGAUUAAAAUUAGUUGUGAGUUUUCGAUCUAAUUCAGUAAAAUUGGGGAUUAUUUUAUUAUGGUUUUUUAAGGAUUAGAAGUUGAUUAUGGUUUAUACGAGAUCAUAUAAUCAAUUCAACGGAUUCAGAUAAUCCAACAAAUUCAAUUUAACAAGCCAAAAUAUAUUUCCCUAAGACAAUCUCAAUUCAAGUCUAAACACAUUAAUUACAUUAAUAUAUAUCUAAAUAUAGAUAUAUGUAUAUGUAAUUAAUUUUUUUAAAAAAAUUUAUAUUUAAAUUAAUUAACCAACUUAAUUUAGUGUCAAUUAAUAAAUUUUGAAUUUUAAUUACAAAAAUCUAUGUAGAUAUUCACAUAUUUUUUCAUUUAAAGGUAAUUAAUGUUGUCACACCCCAAUUCUUGAAAGAAUAAACUAUAAUCGAGGUGUGACUAAAAUCAUAGAAAUGAACAAGGGAAGAGCCUUGUGAAAUUCAAAUAAUAGGAUAAAAAGUCGGGGAACGCCCUUUGAGUGAAGAAAGACAAAAAUCAAGUGAUAUUAAUCAAUCAACAACAUUCUAAGCCUUAGGAUCACAAGUUCGGUUUCAUGCUUCCGAUAACCAACGUUAAUAACAUAGAGCUAGAAGUUGAGAGUUUAAGCUCGAUAAGANUAAAUGUUAGGUCCGGAGGGUCUCGAAUAGGUGUAUGGGGGAGGGGGGGAAAUACACCUAUAAGCAUUUUUGCUUCACAAGAGUCAAAACGAAACUUCAAACACAAACUCACACAACCUAUUUACUGAAAGAGUUUUGACCAAAACAGGGUUGACGACUGAUACUGAAUACUCUUCAGUAAGGAGUUAUCAGUUAAGUCAAAGACCUUAACUGAUACACGUAAGACUUCAGUCGAGUUUGAUAAAAAGAGAUGUUAUGAAUCUUACUGACUAUCAUAAGAUAGAUCAGUUAGACUGAUAACACAUGCAGCGGAAAACUUUUGUUUCGUAAUAGCCUGUGAGUUAAGCACGUUGUCAGCUCUGAGCUGAGUAAUGAUUUUGGCAGUGUUUCAGCUUAUGUUGUUGAAUCGGUGAAGAUUGAAGUGAUCCUCGAACGCUAUUUAUAGGAGAAGUCUUGAAUAGAUCCGUUGGCGGAGAAGGUCUUCCAGAUUUCUUCCGUUACAGAGUAAUUUGAACUUGGGCUGAGGCUUCAAUCUUCGAGGUUCCUUGUUUGGUAAGAACGGAUACUUUGAAGAGCAGGAGAUGCGACAUCUCUGAAAAGGUAAUCACUAAAAAGGAAUGGCCUCUGCAGAGAAAUGACGAUUCUGAGAUCUCUGCAUUUAAUACGACUGUACUCCUGGAGUGCGUGGCUUCCUUUGAACGUUGGAGGUUCAGUCUGAGGAAGAAUGUUUAACUGAUACUUGACUUUAGUUACAGUCCGCUGAUUCCACGUGGCUCGCAUUAAGUAAUCAGUCAAAACUGAUUCUUCGACUGAUGCUCCAGUCAGCAACUUCAGUCUUCAGUCUUCAGUUCUUCAGCCUUCAGUCUUCAGAACAGCAACUAAACUAGAAAAAGAACUCUAACACUUGAGUUCAAGCAGUUCUAGUCUAUUACAAAAGAAACCUAUUGAUUUUGGUAUCAUCAAAACAAUGGUUAGGAUAUUUCACUAAGUUCCCAACAAUUUUCCCCUUUUUGAUGAUGCCAAAACCACACAACAGUUCUAAGCAAGAAAAAGACUGAACUCAAAGCACAAGUUAUUAAACAGGGUGAAUAAUAUUCCUCCUUAACAAUAGAACCUAAAACUUGUACUUCAAAGAAAGAACGCAACAGUUCAACAAAACUGAACGAAGACAAAACUGAAAAAUAUUAAUCAGAGCCUGGACAAAAAGUCAUUGUCUUCAGGUUAAGAUCAAAGAGAAGUUCUUUUCAUUUAAAAAGCAAGACUGAUAAGGCAUCAUUUCUAAUUACAUGAAGAAGGAAGAAGCAAUCAAAGAGGAGCCAAAUCUAAAGAUUAUGGCUUCUGACCAUACAAGUUGAACACAACCUUCCUAAUUUUGUCAAAGUCAUCUGAAUUGGAGUUUGUAGGCACAUUCCAAAUUUUGCAGAUGGUCUUGACUUCUCUUUUGAUGGAUUCUCUGUUGACGCCGUUUCUGAUUCUCGGCGGGCAAACCGUCGUCUUCAGGGAAUUGGAGAUCGGAAUUCCAGCUUCUUUUUUAGCAGAUUACAUUCUCUCAACCAUUGCUCUUUCAGGCCAGUUCACAAGAAAGUAUUUCCAUGCUUCUCUUUGGAAAUCCCUAUUCCUGUUGAGAUUGGCGAAGACAACCCAUUUGGUGUAGCUUUCUUUCAGCUUUUCCCACCAUUCAUUCAUGUCAGUUGGUAUCAACUGAUCUUGUCGAUCAAAUCUAUCCAAGUAGGAUACCAAGAGUCCUUCACUAAUAUACUGCUUCAAUCUUUGUUCUUCUCGAAGCAUUUGUGGGAAGGGUUGUUGAGUAUCUUCACCCAUAUGGAGAACCUUCUUGGCCUUGGGCUCUGGGUCUCUAGAUGAUGAAACCCAAUGAUGAUCUAUGAUUGAUUUCGACUUAUGAUUUUGAUUUAUAUAAUACUUGAAGCAGAGUUAUUAUUUUAUUUCGCGUGAGAAACCGCGAUAAGGGUUAUUGAGCAGUCAAUAAUUUUUAUUACAAGUUUAUAACUGACUUAGCAAAGUCAUGUUAUUUAGUAGAAGUAUUAUUUAUAUUAUUAGUCAUUAUUAUUAUUUUACUUGAGUCGUGGAUUAUUCCGGCUUGUGAGGAAUAUUAAAUCUUCGGAUUUAAUUUAGAUAUUAGAUGAGCAAACGAAUUAAAUCUACGGAUUUAAUUUAGAAUUAUUUUAUAGUCUAUUGACAUUAGCAUAAUAGCAAGACAAGAAAUAGAAUAUCGAGACACGAGAUUUAUUAGAAUAUUCAUAUACACAGAUACGUGAUUAAAUAGCAAAAUCAAAGUUAGCAUUUUUGAUACAGAAUGACCAACGCUGAAAGAUUCUAUCGUGCACACCACAUCUUUUACAACCUAUCUAUUACAAUUAUCACACAAGUCCCUAACCCACAAUUCUAAAACACCAUCUGUCAACAAAGAAAUGGGAGAAGAAAUAAAAAAGGAUAGGAGGCGUGUAUGAGCUGAAACUGCUCUGCUACAGCCGCACCCCCUCUCCAAUCCCCUUCUCCCUACCUAUGUACGUAUUCCUUAGCAUGCUCAAGCUACAGCCGCAAUAUCCUCCAAUCCCCUUCACUCUACCCCUCUUACCUAUUCUCUAGCACACUCAAUGGCAAUCAACAUUCCUUCCUUUUAGCCUACAACUCCAGCCAAAACACGCCAUUCUCUUUCAUUCUUCACUAAGGAGUUCACUGAAGAGCAGGAAAGUCUCCAUUAAUUCCUUCUGCCAACUUCAAGGUAAACUUUGGCUUGAACUCAUUCCACCUCCUGCCAUAACCUCACCUGCAUUUGUUGAAGAAACAACAUGUGUUAAAUUAUUUCAGCCAUUCCAGUGGAGUUAAGUAACCAAGAUUGAAGGAGUAAGAAACUUCAUUCAUUCAUUCUCUUGCCAAAAGUUUCAAGAGGUAAACCUUGGCUUUAAUUCCUUAACUUUAAUUCUUAUUCACCUACAUUAUAAGGCAAUAACACCUUCGUUCUAUUUCAGUUCCCAGUCAUCAAUAUCACAACAGCCAACCAACACGUUCUAAAGGUAUUUAUGCGACCUCUGUUAUUCAAUCCAGUUUGCAUUUAUACCAUCAUACAUGAUCAGAUUCAAAUGAUAGAAGAUCUAUAUAGCGUAAUGGACUUAGCAGCGAAGUACACUUUGUAAUGUAGAGCACCAAUUACUUUUCUUUUGUGCAAGUGUUAGUAUGUAUAAGAACUCGACCGAGCAUAGUAUGAUUCUUAAGAAAAGCAAGGAUGAGACUGCAUCUUCUUUAUAUUUAGGUUAGGAAUCGAUAGAUGAAGUAGAGUAAGAUUUGGCUUAACUUUAGAGGGCUAGGGCCACUGCCUUGCUGCCCCAUCGAACUCCGAGAACAGCAGUGUCGACGGCGUCGAUCGGUGAAGGGCAGACGACUCCCGACCCCAGCGAUGGCUCCUCGUCAAUUCUGGAGUAGCAGCAACGGCUUGGUGCGCGGUAGGGGUAGAGUUUUAGGGGGAGACGGCCGAAUUGAAUCGGCAUGAGAAGAGUUAGGGCUUUCUUUACUCCAUUCGCCGGAUUUUGAAAGUGGUGGUGGCGGAUUCAGGCGAGAAGCUCGCCUUGAUGCUCUGUGAUUUGUUAAAUCGAGAGAGCAGAGCAGAGAGCGAGAGAGCAGAGCAUAGAGUAUAGCAUAGUAGAGCAGAGAGCGAGAGAGCAGAGCAGAGAGCAAGAGAGCAGAGCAGAGAGCGAGAGCGCAGAGCAGAGAGCAAGAGAGCAGAGCAGAUAGCGAGAGAGCAGAGAGCGAGAGAGAGCAGCGCAGAGAGCAGAGAGCGAGAGAGCUGAGCAGAGAGAACAGAGCAGAGAGCAGAGAAGAGAGCGAGAGAGCAGAAAGAGAGGACCGGGGGACGAGUUUGAGGGAGAGGGUCUUGGGCCUUCCCCUUUAUUUUCUACUUUGUAAUUGGGCCUUUGGGCCAAAUUCAUUUUAAUUAUAUGAGUUGCCCUUAAUUGGUUCAUUAUGGAUUAAUUAUUAUGGGAUUAUUGCUCGAGUAAUCGGAUUCAGCUAUUCCCCUUUUCCGAUUAAAUAGGGCGAGAUCUAUUAGAUUCUCAUGUGAGUGAAAACACCCUAAGACGAAGGGGUUAGUCAUAGUUAUUUACCCGAUCGUGCGAAACGAGUUUCAGUUAGUUUAUUUUGCUUAUUUAAUCCGAGAGUUAGGACUAAUAGUAUAAUUUCCCGAACUAUUAAGUCGGAAUAAUGAAUCAUGCAUAAGAGAGUCAUGCAUCAUUAAUUUCACAUUCUCAUUAAUCGAGGAUUCUCUUCGAACACAUAUCUUAUAUUAUAUUCUCGCAAUUAAGGUCAAGCGCGAGAGUAAUUACUAGACAAGAGCUACUGCACCACAACAAGAAUUGCCAACAGGUGGGCAUUAUUUUCAUAUAUAUCAAAUGAGUUUAAAUGUUACGUUCAAGCAAGUUAUUUCAUGACAAAAUCUUUGAGUUGAAGUUAGUUCAAGUAUUGUCUUGCCAUAAAAUGUUUCAAUUUCAGUAUGAUAUCUAUCUGAUGUGGCUUUGCCAGUUAUCAUGUAAUCGAAUUCGGGUCUUGAGCAGUUGAUAGCUAUCCUGCCUUGACAAGUGUACACCAGUGACCGUGAGUCAUCUAGCGGGUUGGCCGGUCAAGUGACAGUGAGACGUGGCCACCUCUCCGGCACGCAGCUUCAGAUAUGAUAGAUUAUGAGAACUUAGACUGCCGUCGAACUUUAAGAAUCACAAAUAAAUUUAGUAAGCUUGGGCUUUUUAGCGAAAACUUCCUUGUUGUACUGUUUAUGAUGGCAUGACGAUUUGCAAUUUAUUUAACAUGUAAUUUAUACUUAGGCAUACGUGCCCACUGAGUACUUUUGUACUCAACCCUGCGUAUAUUUCUAAAUGUGCAAGUUGAGCAGCUGUCGGUGGUGACGAAGUGACGAGCGGAACCCUUUUGUCUCAUCCUUAUGUAUUAAUGAACUCUAGGGAUACAUGUCUUCAUACAUGUAAUCAGAACCUUAUUCCGCUGCGUACUCAGAAGUUUUAUGUUAUUUUGGCUAAGUCGGAGUUAUCCGAACUACUAGUUUAUUUCAGUCUAUAUGACUAAACCUCCGUUAUAUUAUAAAUAUUCCUUUGGUUAACAAUGAUAGAAUACGAUCCACCCUGUUUGAUUAUCCCUCUUUCUACGCCGCUUCUAAUCUUCCUCCCUUAGUCACGGUUUUUCCGGCUUAAUUAUCCUUAAUUAGGCACGGUCGUGACAUAUUUAUGAGGUAAAUAUUCUGGAAGUUGGUGCGUUUAUGGAUUUGUUUAAUGCUUUGUAGGAGCUUUUGAUAAAACAGGAGGAAGAAUGCUAAGUUGGAGUUUUUGGAUCAGAUUUGCUAUUUUUGGCUCAAAGUGGUGCUCAGAGCUGACGGCGCAUACUCUGCUGCCUCGCCAGAGCUGACUGAGCCGAAGUCCAUUUGUUAGAGUGGAUUUCCCGUGUCAGAGCCAGAGCUAAAAAGAGCCCUUCAAGUCGGCUGUGCUGAAAGCAAACACAUCCGCAUUCCUCUGAAGACAGUUGAUUAGCUCUGCUCUAGUUUGUUCAUUCAUGGAUGACCCGAUUUUUGUCUGAAAGCCCUCUUUUCCCAGAAAUAGCUCAAUCAUUUUACACACGUCGUUGGUAGAUAUCAAGGCAGAUUUCUCAGAGUUUUCCCGAGUAUUUAACAGCUCUGAUAAUUCCCGCCGUUCCUCUGCCGGGCCAGCGACAUCACCCAUCUUCCCCUUCUUUCUAGUGUCUGAUCCCUCUGUUGCCCUUUCUCUUUUUUAACCUGAAGAUUGCGUGAGCAUUCGCACAUGGCAUUCUUUUGAAAACUUUUGAUCACCCUAGACUUCCCCCACUCUUCUGCCUCUGAUUGGGAAUUUCAUUUUUAGGUGGAACAUUGAAAUGAUUGCUCUUAACGCCGUCAGAGCAGGGCGUCAGAGUAUCACAUUGUAAGAUGGUUUGGGCAUGUCUACCAUCAAAAAUCGUAUCAUCCUGUUUUUGCAGGCAUCUGCCCUGCCGAGAGUAACUGGUAACUCCACAAACCCCAGUGGCAUGACGAUUUCUCCGCCGAAUCCGAAUAGAGGGGCAUUUGUGGGUUCAAUAUUAGCCUCGAUCCCCAUACUUUGGAGAUAUUCUAAGUAUAAAAUAUUCACCGCACUCCCAGAGUACACGAAGAUGCGAUGUACAAUACAAGUUGCUAUGUCGGCCGUGAAAACCAGCGCGUCGUCAUGGGGGUACAUGAGUGUCUUCAGGUCCUCUGACCCGAAGGUUAUGGCUGGUUCCUCUGCUGCACCCGUGAUUUCCAUUACUUGUUUAGGGUAAUAUCCUGACCUCACUGCCCGCACAACCUGUUUCUUGGCUCGGUUGGAGGUUGAUAGCCCAUUUUCCCCAAAGAUCAUGUGCACCUUCCUUCUAGCUGGGUGGGAAGAUACCCGACCCUGUACGACUCCUCUAUGUUGAUAGCGGUUUUCCUCCGGACGUCGGUCUCGGUCAUUUCCUUGAACUUGCCUCUGAUCAUUUCCUUGGGCCUGCUGACCCUGAAUCUCAUUCCCUCUGGCUAUGAAUUGAUCCAGGUUGCCCUGGCGUACCAAGAGUUUCAAUUGAUGCUUGAGAUGUGACUCAACUAGAAACACCUCUAAGUUGACUUGCAAUAGAACAAGGACAUCCUAGUGAUGGUAAGUUGACCCAGUGUUAUCUCUCAAGGAAAGUCUUUAAGGGCUUCUAGUAGUAUCGUAGGAAAAAGCAAUAAAAGAAAGCAGUAAAGAUUUUGAUUUAAAAACUGAAACUUAAACUUAAACUUAAACUUGACUUGAAUUUAAACUUAACCUAGGCAAGAAUUUAAACAACUCAAAUUAAACCUAACUUAAGGAAUUAAAUACUUGUAAAUUUGAAGACUUCUAAUCUAGGCGUGAAACUAAAAUGCAUAAUUUAAAUUGCAUAAUUAAAAAGAAAGCGUAAACAUGAACGAAAAACGUAAACAUGAUUAAACAGAAAUAAAUUGAAUUUAAAUACGAAAUACCGUAAACGUCUUGAACAUGUAAUUGUGUCACUCAAUCACAAUCCAAGAAUAAAAACUAAAUAAAAUGAAAUUGAAAUCUAACUUAAAACAAUGAAUUCGAAAACUAUGAAGAACUAUGAAAGCAAGUAAAUCCUAAGCUUCGGCUGCCAAAGGAAGAUCUCAAAGGCGUCCAAAAAUUAGGGCAAAAGUAUCUUUUACAAUGAAAAGCAUGGCCCUAUUUAUAGACUUCAAAUCCCUCUGGAUCACAAUGAAAGUUGCCAUGCAAAGUAGAACUCUAAAAGGAAUAGAAUCGUGCAAAGGAAGGUAAGUCCAGCUGUGACGCGCGCUACAAGUCAUCUCCAUUCUGGCCGAAUUCGGGGCUCUCGCCAGCGGAAUGGCUUCCGCUCUGGCACUCACCAGUGGAAUGGCUUCCGCUCUGGCUCUCGGUUUCUCUGACUGGCGUGUGAUUUCAGCAGCGAAGUGAUUCCUCUGGCGUUUUCAAUUCCUCUGGCGCUUCCAGCAGCGAAGUGAUUUCUCUGGCGAGACUUCGCUGCUCUGAUUUUCUCUCCUCUGCUCUGACUUUUGACUUCGCUGCUCUGGGUUGGUUUCGCUGCUCUGGCUCUGGAGCAUUUCUCUAGCUUCCUAUUUCGCUGCUCUGGCAUGCGGGGCUUUGCUUCUCUUACAUGCCAGAGUAUGCACAAAAACACGAUUCUUAGCCCAAACUCUCCAAAAUUUGCACUCUUCAUCUCGAAAACCUAAAUCUCCUGCAAAGCAUAAAAUACACCAUAAAACGCACCAAUUUCCAGAAGAUUUAACUUAAAAUAUGCACAUGCAAACCCCAAAAUUUAGAACAAUUAAGCAUAAAUCAAGAUGCCCACAGUACCUAGUAUAGUGCCCAUAAGAGUUGUGGUAUUCACAUAAUUUAUUAUUAGGCCCCGGCUGUGGCUGCCCAUCCCUGUAAUUCCAAUCCAACUCUCAAAGUCAAUUCAGAAUUUUACAAUCAAUGGCUGGUUCUUAAUCAGGUGAAAGAUUUCUUCUUGUGGCUUGUUUAGGGGAGUGUAUUCAUCAAAGCGGUUGACUUCGUUCACAGUGCGCUGUUGGCGGGGUGGUACCUCUGUUUGAGGAGGAAGUACCCUAGGGGGCAACCCUCUGAAGGGUGCCGGAUUCCGAUUCCUGUUGUUCUGCUCUGGCACGGCCUCGGCCCUUUUGGCCUUGUGCUUAUCAUUUUCUACCUUUCGUGCCGUUCGGGCAUCCUCUAAUUGCAAAUACCCUAGUAGUCUUGACAUGAUGUCAUCAAAAUCUCGGGCUGGCCUGAUCUGUAACUCGUCAAAGAAAAGCCCAGGCUUCAACCCUCUGACGUAUGCGCAUUUUUUUAUUUGUGACUCUGUCUCUAGAACCUCCAGAGCAGCGAGAUUAAACCGGGCCGUGUACUCCCGUAGCAUUUCAUGUUGAUCCUGCUUUAUAUCCAUCAAGGAAAGGGCUGACUUUCCCACCCUUCACGAGCUCGCGAACUGUCUAAGAAAAUGUGUUUGCAGGUCCUCAAAAGAGUGGAUGAAGUUCGGGGCCAACGUCCCGAACCAUAGCUAGGCGGGUCCAGACAAAGUUGUAGAAAAUAUACGGCACUUGAUGCCCUCUGAAUACAUGUGUAGCGUGACUAGCCCUUCGAACUGGUUGAGGUGCACCUCCAGGUCAGUGGUACCAUUGUAGUCAAGUGAAAUAGGUUUGUACUAGAAAAACGCUCAUAGAUAACGGAUUUUUUCCGUUAUCUAUGAUACGUAUUAUAGACAACGGUUCAAAACCGUUAUGUAUAUUAGCAUAGAUAACGGUACGAUGCGUCAUACAUAACAGUACGCAUCCGUUAUCUAUAAAGGUUAUACAUAACAGUUUUUCACCGUUAUGUAUUAAGAUUUUUCCGUUAUGUAUUAGAAUUUUUUUUAUUUUUUUAAUCAUAGUUAACCGUUUUUUGCACUUUUUAUAACGGUUUUAACCGUUAUCUUUGAUAGAAAUACAUAACGAUUUUUUGCACUUUUUAUAACGAUUUUAACCGUUAUCUUUGAUAGAAAUACAUAACGGUUUUUUGCACUUUUUAUAACUGUAAUAUAUUUUUUAAAAUUUUCCUGUUAUUUAUCUCAAAAAUUAAAUUAAUAAUUCUAAAACAAAAUGACAUUGCCAUCGAUAACAUAUAUUAUAUAACAUCCAAAAUAUUCAUACAUUAUCAUCCAAAUAUAAUAAAUAUCACAUAAAUUUCUGUCUAACAAUUCUCCCACCAUAUAAGCACCAGAUUCUUAUAAGCAAUUUCUGUCUAACAAUUUCUGUGGCUAGCCCUUGGUGCACAGAUGACUUAUAAGCAUUGUCUAGAGACUUGUUGUACUCACUCACAGCCCUCUUCUUCCCUGUAUACGAGGCAACCUGCACAAAUAUAUAUAUUUAUUUUUAAGCACCAACACUACAGUCACAAAAUAGAAAUGGGCUAAACAAACUAACUCAUCAACAGUAUGACACGAGAAAUUAACUUGUGUCUCGAUGAUCACCUUGCUAAGAGCAUUAGGAUUUUGAGGCUUCGCAUUUAAGAAGGCCACCUCAACCUGCAAAAGCAUAAAAUUGCAAUAGUCAAGAUCCAGAAAAGGUAGAUACCCUAGCCUUCUCCACACAGUCUCGUACAAAACCCAACUGCAACUUAAAGAAUAAAAAUACUCAUGCCAAUUUUAACCAAAGGAGAGUCGGCAGUGAAAAGCGAUAAUCGUAUUGUCUCUCAGGGGGUACAUCUUCCAUCCUUAUUAACAACCCAAUUGCCUAAGAGAACAAAAAGAUAGCAUCAAAUAACAACAUCAACUACCUUAAUUAUUGACCUCAAAAAUGUGACUUCCAUACUUGUAAAGCACAAAGACAUCAUCACACACCUACAUUCAUGACUUUUGAUGCAAAGUAAAACAAAGGAAAACACUAAAACAGUAUAGACACUAACUUUCAAACACAAACAUGAGAACACCGUAGUCACUAACUCCUUUCUUCCUUUGAGAUUUUCAUUUGUGAAUUUCUAAUUUUCCUAUAAAAUUUCAGUUGAUAACUACAGAUACUUCCAUCUCAUGUUGAUAGAGUAUGAAAAUCGAUAUUCUGAUCGAUACACGUAAAAACAAAUCUCACUGCCAAGAAAAAGAAUCAUGUAUGAAUGGCUGCGGCGAAGUGCUGAAGAAGCAUAACAGAUUCCAAUAAAUAUUCAAUCAUCUCCAACACGUUAAUUUUCUUAAAAAAAAAUAGACGACAAACGAGAAGAACAACUAUAUUUUUGAAAAUUAAAAAAAGAAAUGAAAAAAAAGAACAGCAACAACAGAAAAAUGAAAUUUUACCUGAUAAGAGCGGCAACAAGGAGGAAAAUACGGCGGAGCAGUUUCUUGACCGAAUCUCUGCUUAGGUCUGUGACACAACACUACAAUCACAACACUACAGACCAACGUUAUGGGUCUGGGUGCAGCCAAAGGCAUCGGACAAUUGUCAAAUAAAACGAAGAUACUAGUUAAUAUGAAUGAAGAUCGGAGAGCCAAAGACUAGACAGACUGGUUGAAGAGAAAACAAAUCCCCCCAGGUUGGAGCAGCCUUCCAUCUUGAGACUGGUUAGACACUUCUUGUCUGAUAUAAAACGAGUCAAAUCAUCCCCGGAUGAGGACAUGGAAUAGAAUAAAUCAUAAUUAGUCCGAGACAAGAACAUAAUAAGAUAUUAAGAUUAUCUUGAGAAAGUUAGGACAUAUGUAUCAAGAACAAAAUGCUUUCCUGUAUAAUUUAAUUUUUCCAUUAUGAUGGAACAAUUUAUGCUUUAGGAUAUGGAAUUAGGUAAAGAGCUUCAAAACAAUCUAUAUAAGAUGGAAAUUACAUCUAUUAAUAUUACUCAAAAUAUGACUUCAAAUGAAAAUCAAUAGUUCUAACCCAAGUACCCAAAAAAUUGGUUCAACAGAUUCAUAAUUAUGGACAUAAAAAAACUCAACUCAUUCUUGAACCGUGUAGAGGAUAGAUCAUAUUCACUUCCAAAUGAUGCAAAACUUACAACCUAGUAUAAACUAUCUUGAUAUCUUUAGAAUAUUUAUGUGGUAAUUUAACAGUCUAAAGUCUACAAGAAACCACAAACAUAUGCUUCUUACUUUCAAAGCAUAGAAAAUUAUAGAGAAAUGAACAAGCAGCUGUCUUCAAUUCUAUUUCAUAUAUGUAGAGAAUAGACCGGCCAAUUACUGCUUAAGAUUUGCUAUGCCUGUACAAAUAUUGAAACAAUGGCAGAUCCCAUAAUUUCAUGAGUAGAGAGCAACCUAUACACACACAAUCACUCAUUCUACAUGUACUAGUAAUUUACAAAAACAAUAAGUAGACCCGCAUCAAAGACUUAGAAUCAAUACCCAGAGAUCCGGUUGAUGCAGGAAUCAGAUGUCAAGAUCUCCAAAGACUGCAAAUUAGGGCACGAAAACGCAAUGCAGGCCAGCAUCGUUGCAUCAACAUCACUGCAAAACCAAAAACAGAAACACAUAAUCAGAUCGAAGCAAAGCUUAUUGCCAAUCAGUGAUCACAUCAAUCAUCAACAACAGUUUUAAGUCUUCUCCCUAAGUUUCAACAAAUUGUACCUGCAAAACCCUAACCUUAAGAUCCAGUAAUCUUUUACUUUAAGCAUCCCAAGCCUUCUCCACCGCGGCUCACGUCGAGUUCCAGAGGCACGACUCAAUCUCGAGCUCGUCCGUAUACAGGGUCGUUCGCCAGACGGUGUCGCUGCCGAAAAUUGAAGCUAGGGCACGGCGGCGGCAGGGAGCCGCUGUUGUCGCCGGAGUAUGGAGAGAAGAGGGGGCUUUGGGCUGCGCUCGGAGGCGGCGGCCUUCCCGCCGUGCGGUCGACAGGAAUCGACAUGAAGGUAGCUGUAGAUUAUAGAUCUAGGAUUUCAGGCGCGGUGUGGUGUGCGUGCAUUUGAGUCAGAGAGAGAGGAGAUUAAGAGGGAGACGAGGGAAGUGCGACGAGCUUGGUGGCUGACGUUGCUGCGGCCGUGGAGGACAGAGGGGGGCGCACUUCUAUGGCCAGAACUUGCCUCUGCAGCGGCGGCGACUAUCUCUCAAAGAGGGAGAGAUCGCGAAGAGAGAGAGAGAUUUGGGGAGGAGAUGAGAUAAUUUUUCAAAGUCUAUAUUUAGGAAUAAAUUCAGAUUUUAGGAUAAAUAAUUUAUUUGUUAUUUUUAAUAUAAUAUAAUAUAAUAUAAUAUUAUUUUUAAAAAUUAAUAAAAAAAUUAUAACAUAACAGUUUUUAUAGACGCUCAUACAUAACGGUUCAAAAACCGUUGUAAAUGACUCUUAUACAUAACGGUUCUUUAACGUUAUGAAUAAUCGUUAUAAAAGAUGGUCAUAGAUAACGGUGGCUUAACGGUUUUUUAAUACCGUUAUGUAUGCAACUAAUAGAUAACGCAAAAAAUAUAUCGGUUUUUGAAAAACCGUUAUCUAUGCAUAUAGACAACACUACAUAGAUAACGAAUUUUUCCAAAACCGUUAUCUAUUCCUAAAAGUGUGCUCAUACAUAACAGUUUUUGAAAAAAACUGUUAUCUAUGCACUGUUAUGUAUGUAAACUUUUGUAGUAGUGGUAGCUCCUUGGCAAGGUAUCUGCCAGGAUAUCAGCGGAAAACGGGCGGCUAGUGGUGGUUUGGAUCCUUGAUGUUUUAGCACGCCCUUCAUCCCUGUGUCUCUUAUGUUCCCUCCUGUCUCUUGGUGAAUCAUGAGCGUGGUGGCGUUUGUGGCCCCUGUGUCCCUGCUUGCCAGAGGUGUGCUCCUGUUCCCGUCCCUCUGACCUCUCAGUCCGGCGGGACUUCUCUGAUCGGUAUGACUUCUCUGCUCUGUGGGAUCUCUCUGUACUUUGUGAUUUUUCAACCCUCUGAGAUUUCUCCCUCAGAGUAUCCUCCAGAUCUUUGAGUUGGUUUUUCAGUUGUGACACUUGAUUUUUCAACUUCGCAGUUUCCCUUGGCCUCUCUUAUUCGAAGAUAGGAGUAAUGGAAUGACUAUCAAACUCGUCCACCCCCUCCCUUCUGACAAUGCUAUGCAACACAAUGCGGCUCUCCUCUGGCCUCCUUUUCGGUUUCCUCUCAGCGGGAAUUUCUGUGUUUCUUUCGGCAGUGCAGGUUGUUUGUUGGCAAGUUGUUCGUUCACCUCCAGAGCGGCGUGAGGUGGGAGUUCAGUGCCCUGCUGGUUGAGCACUCCCAGCAGAGGAGCCGUAGUGGGGACAGUUGAUAAAAGUGGAGUUCCCAGUGCCUUUCGCACAACAGCGUAAUUCAACAGAGCCAUCAUCUGCUCUGCCAAAGCGAAAUUCAGUGGCCCACCACCAGACGUGGGGACCAAGCCUUGUAACUCAGACCCAGCAGCAACCAGAGCAGAUCUCUGGGGGAUGACAUUCUGGCCGAAGCGGGGUAGCAGAGAUGUUGAGGAACCGGCGGUUGGAGAAAAUAGUGCUGACUGGCAGACUGCUUAGCAGAGAAAGGGCACUUAGUACGGGCGACAGAGUUGAGCCCGGUGUUGUCAAGGUCCUUCUCAAGGGUGCGGCGAACGUCAGAAGAGUCCAUGGUACCUACACUAAAAAUGUGAGAAAAACCCAAUAAAAGACAGAUCGAUCCACCCCUGUAGAGGAAUCCCGACAUAAGAAAUCCCAAUAUGGCGCGAAGGCCAUUAUGAAUUCCCGAUCAAAAUACUUCCUGCCGGAAAUAAACCAGGGCACAGAUUCAACAGGAAAGAACAACGAGAUUUCUCCGGAUUCAGAUUCGAAUUCAGCAGAAAAGACAGAUUGCCAGAGAAACCACCUGGAAAACCCAAAAGCAAAUAAAAACAGAACAUCAACUGAGAUAUCGUUAGUAAACAGUUAAAUACGGCAAAAACGAGAUUAUACAGGAAAACAUGAGAAUCGCAAACAAUUAACAGCAUAGCAUAUAAAAUAGACAGAUACCAGAACCUGAUUCUCAAUUUUACCCAUCCUCCAAACGUGCACAUACGAGAAAGCAACGAAACCCACGAAUAUAUGAGUUUUCGGAUGGAUCGGAGCGAAAAAAGUAGAUCUACCGCCCCAAAUCCACUAGGGUACUCGAAUCAUUGAACUAAUCGGGACCUGCGCACGUAAAUCCGCCCGCGAUUGCAGAUCUGCAUGCGCAAGCUGAAACUCACGCCUUAAACUCAUAGCUUUCCCACAGACGGCGCUAGCUGAUGAAUCGCAAUUGUGUGGGUGGUAUUUUAAUCGUGCAUUGUGAUUAGAUUGUGAAUUUUACCUAGUGUUGCUUGUGGAAAUUGGAAGAAGAGAGUCGGAUUGCUGAGAGAAAGCGAGCUUGCGGUUGUAUUGAUAGAAAGCACGUGAAAAAUACAUAACAUGGGUGCAUGGGUAUUAUAGUAUACAUGCUAGGGGUAAAAUAGUAAAUUCAUUCUCGGGAUCACGUUCCCCGAGUGGUCGGGGGUAUUGUGGUAAUUUCGCCUGCCUUCGCUCAUUCCUCUGCUCUGGCGCUUCCCAGGUGAAGUGGUCAUUCCUACCGUUGACUGUCUCGUGAGUAGAUCAUCCCUCUGAUUUCUGCGAUUUCACUAGUUUCUGCGAUUCCUCUGACCGAACCCAUUCCUCUGGCCCAAAUGGUUCCUCUGGCCCGAACGAUUCCUCUAUCCAAAUCCAUUCCUCUGCUCUGCAUAUAUUACUCAUCAUCAAAAAGCGAGGACUCCUCAUGCGCACAUCGUUCUGUUUAUAAAAGUGAAGCUCAGCAUCGCCUUAUAGAGAACAUUGAUGAUUUUAUAUGUGCUGAACUUCCAAAUAAGGAAGUCAAUCCUGAGCUAUACUAGGCCAUAGCAGAAUGUAUGAUCCAUGGUCCUUGUGGACCAGAAAUAAUGAACUCACCUUGCAUGGUGAAUUCAAAGUGCUCAAAAAAAAUUCCCAAAGGAUUAUGUUGAUCGUACAAAACUUGAUGAUAAUGCAUUUCCAGUCUAUAGAAGGAGAGAUACAGGUGUCACCGUGGAAAAAAAUGGAGUUCUUCUGAUAACAGAUAUGUAGUUCCAUACAAUCCGUUUCUAAUUAUGAAGUAUCGUGCCCACAUCAAUGUUGAGUUUUGCAAUCAAGGGCAAUCUGUCAAGUAUCUCUUCAAAUUCAUCAAUAAAGCCAGCGAUAGGAUGGGGUGCAAGAAUAACUACAAAGCUAAUGGUGAAUGGCUACAUGAAAGACACUUAGGACAAAGCGGGACAAAGGUUUUGGCAUAGGACGCAUUUUCAUGUUCCUCCCUCAAAUAGGAAAAUGUAUCAUCUUAGGAUGUUAUUGAAUCAUGUCAGAGGUGCAACGUGUUACAAUGAUUUUAAAAUGGUGAAUGGCGACAUGAAAGACACUUACAAGGAAGCAUGCUACGCAAUGGGAUUGCUAGACGAUGACAAAGACUAUAUUGAAGGAAUUAUUGAAGCCAGUUCUUGGGGAACAGUAUGUCAAGGCCUGAAGAAGUCCGGAAUCAAACUUGGCAAAACCUAUAAGAUGACAUCUUGCACACAAAGCGAAAGACUCUUCAAAAGCUAGGUAUUUUAAAUUAUAAAAUAUAUGAAUAAUAUUAUGCAUUAAUUCGAUGGGGCUCUCGGCAGAGCUGUCUCUGGUUGAACUCUGUCUCUGGCAUGUUGUCUCUAGUAGAUCUGCUCUAGCAAGGCGGGUUGAUCUCUGGCUCUGGCAAGGCGGGGGUUAAGGUCUGCUCUGGCAGAGCGGGCAGCUCUGCUCUGGCAAGGCGGUUGAGCUCUGCUCUGGCAGAGGCGGGAGCUCUGCUCUGGCAAGGCGGGUUGAGCUCUGCUCUGGCAGGGCGGGCAGCUCUGCUCUGGCAAGGCGGGUUGAGCUCUGCUCUGGCAGGGCUGUCUCUGGUGAAGCGGGCUCUUCAGGCAUCUUCAUAUUCAUUUAUUAUCCCGAGUCUUUAGUUAAACCUGCGAUGGUUAGUUUAUAUAAUAAUAAUAACAAUAAUUAGGUAAAAUGUCCCUGUAUUAUUGCUAAGCACAACGCUGAUGGGUAUUACUGUCCUCAUCAAGGCCUAUUUGAAAUAAAUAUUACAUCCUUUUACUUUAACACAAUUUUAUUAGAUGUUCUCUUUAGUGAAAAGAAAUUUAUGAAAUAAAAAAUAAAUUGAAUAAUCACAAAAAUUUAUUUUUUAAUAGAGAAAAAUAUUAAUAUUUCGCAGUAAACAUAAUAUGAUCUUAUUAAUAUUUGGUUGUAUAUCAUUAAAUAAUAACUAUUGGACCCAUAUAUUUACUUGACAUGAAAGUGGCGCCAAUGUAUCUAUGAUCUAUGGUUAUAGUUUUAUUUAUAUAUUAUAUUGUUCUAAUGACUUUUAUUAAAUAGAUUUGCAGUUGACAGAUGACCAAUUAAAAAAUCUAGCAUUGGUUGAAAUUGAGAAGUUGCUUAUAGCUAAUUCCACCAGUUUAGUCAAUUUUCCUGGCAUGCCGUUACCAAACGAAACUGUCAUAUCUAAUUCAGAAAAUCUACUGAUAUUGGAAGAGAUGUCUUACAACAUAGAAGAAAUGAAAGAAGACACGCUAAGCUAUAUCCUCUUUAAGAUGAGCAAAGAAUGGUUUAUGAAACAAUAAUGACGCGGUUGAUAAAGGCGAAUGAGGAUUUUUCUUUCUAUAUGGAUAUGGUGGUACAGAAAGACAUAUAUUUGGAACACCUUAUGCUCGGCCAUACGUGGGAGGGGCAUAUAGUACUCCAGUAGCUUCGAGUGGUAUAGCAUCUUACUUUGCCUAGGGGCAGACUGCACACUCAGAUUCGUAUACCAUUGGACUGCCACGAAAACUCCACAUGCAACAAGAUAAACCCAGAUAACGAUUUACUGGACUACUUGAGAAAAAAAGCUUAUUAUUUGGGAUGAGGCACCAAUGACACAUAGAUACUGUUUUGAAGCGCUUGAUAGAAGCUUAAGGGAUAUUAUGAGAUCUUCCGAUAGGUCUGGAAAACCUUUUGGAGGUUUGGUGGUGUUUUAGGAGGCGACUUUCGACAGAUACUUCCAGUGAUCCCUAAGGGAAGUCGGCAUGACAUCGUGCAUGCCUCUAUAAGUUCAUCUCAACUUUGGAAUUCGUGUCAAGUUCUCAAGUUAACUAAGAACAUGAGAUUACAGGUAUUUUAAUCUUAAUCUAAAUAUAUAUUUUUAAAAAAUUAUAUUACCAUGAUAAAUUUAUUAAUAUUAUUUUAAUUCAAAUAAAAAAUAUUAAAUAUAAAAUUACUAUUGUUUGUAUAUAUGUAUUUAUCUUAAUAAUUUUAUCUUACAUUGUUCGAAUUAGUCCUCAUUCCUUAGUAGAUGUUAUAUAAAGGCGACUAUAGUAAAUUAAGUUCAGCCAUAAUAACAAAAACUUAUAAUUUAUUCUAAAUCCAAAUACCUUGAUAGAACACGACGACAUUUGUCAAUUAUAUUAGGCUAAUUAAAACUAAUGUAGUAAUAGAUCCUUUUUCUAUGGAUUACAUACUUUACAAAACGACACAGUAAGGUUAAAUGGCUUAUCUUGAUUGAUUUUGUGAACAUUUAAAUGUAAUUAUGUAUAGUUAGGAUAUUUUCAUGAAAAGACUAUAAUACAACGUAUAGGGAAGGCAAUAAGGCCGAUAAAAACAAUAGAUAUAUUUUUUUUUAUUUAGUGAUAAUUCGAAUAAGAUGUAUUGGUACACAUUUUGGUUUCAGGCAAAUGCUUCUGGUUCGGAUGCAGAAGAAACCAAAGAAUUUGCAGAGUGGAUACUUAAAAUAGGUGAUGGUACACCCGGACAUAGUCUUAGUGAUGGAGAAUCUGUUGUGGCAUUAUCAGAAGAUAUCCUUAUACGCGAUGCAACAAAUCCUAUUGCAGCUAUAGUGGAAACACAUAUAAUGACGUCAUGAAUAAUGCAUUUGAUCCAGAAAUAUUUAAGAAUAGAGCUAUCUUGGCGCCCACCAAUGAGAUGAUUGAUACGAUAAAUGAUUACGUCAUGUCUCUGAUGUCUAGCAAGGAAAUGGUUUACCUAAGUUCAGACAGUAUUUGCAAAGAAGAUGGACAAGUGGGCCUUGAUGAACAUGUAUUCUCGAUUGAAUAUCUCAACACAAUCAAGUGUUCAGGAUUACCGAGUCAUGAAAUUAAAUUGAAAGAAGGAUGCAUAAUAAUGCUUUUCAGAAAUAUUGAUCCAUCUAAUGAGCUUUGCAAUGGCACUAGGCUGAUAGUAACUCAACUUGGGGAACGCGUAAUUGAAGGCAAACUCAUUUCAGAAAAAAAUGCGGGCAAAAGUUUCCCAUAGCUAGAAUGAUAAUGAGUCCAUCGGAUUUCGCUAAAUUUCCCAUUCGGUUUCAGAGAAGGCAAUUUCCUGUGAGUGUUUGUUUUGCUAUGACAAUAAAUAGAAGCCAAGAACAAUCUCUUUCAAAUGUAGGAUUAUACCUACCAAAACAAAUUUUUAGUCAUGGGCAACUCUACGUGGCGAUCUCAAGAGUCACUAGAAAAAGAGGUCUAAAGAUUUUAGUAUGUGAUGAGAGUGGUCAUAUGCAAGACAAAACAACUAACGUGGUGUAUGAUAAAAUUUUCGAUAGAUUAUGAGGUAAUUGCAAAUUUAAUAUUUUAUUCAAUCUUUAAAAGUUAAGUCAUUAACGAUAUUAUUUAAAAUAAUUUUUUUCUUAUUUUUUGUUUGGCUGAUUUGAUAUGUGCUUAUUGAUACUGCAGAGGUUGGUACAACAUUUGAAACUGGAGUGAAAAUAAGCAAAAGAAUUAGGAUGAGACCUCUAGAGUACUGGAAAUGAGAGAGUUUCUUAUACAGACGAGUUGAAGACAGUGGGUAUACCUCUAGAGUACUGGAAAUGAGAGAGUUUCUUAUACAGACGAGUUGAAGACAGUGGGUAUAUUUUUUUUGUCUCUCAGUCUUUUGUUGGAAUUUAACAUUUGAUAUCUUGGUAUGUGAUAGGCCUAAUUUAUGACUUCAAAUCACGUUUCAAAUCAUUGUUGCAACUUCUCUUCUAAUAUUUUUUGAAUCAAAACUUUGCUUAUAUAGACAUUUAAUUUAUGUUGAUUUCAAAUAAAUAUUACAUCUUUUACUUUAGAACAAAUUUAUUAAAUACUAUUCUUAUUGACGAAAUUAUCACUUCUGCACAAUAUAUUGAAUAAUUACAAAUAUUUGUAUUUUAAUAGAUCCCCGUCGAUUUUCGACGGGUUACCAACUAGUGUCAUUACAAAAGGUUUUUGCUCAUCAAACCGGCCGACUAUUCAAAUCGUGAUGUUCGUUUGAUAAUUUUCCCUCUCAACCAACACCACGUACUAUGCGUUACUGUGUAGAAGCUACUAUUAUCAGAAUUUGAUUUUGCAAAAGGUUUAAUUAAGAUAAUGUUCCAACUUUAAAAGAUUUUAUAGUGCAUGGACUCGUAAAGGUUAUUAAUUAUUUAAGUUUAGAAUCAACCUUUAGAACCUAACAAUAAAGACCUAAUUUUAGCUUCUCUCUUUUAUAAUUUGGACAUAUUCAUUUUUUUGCACGAGAUUAGAGUUGACAUAGACAUUCUUAUGAUGUUAAAAUUCAAAAGUAAUAGAGAACUUUUAAUACUCAUUGUCUAGACUAUCCUCUCGUAUCAUUAAUGUUUUAUUGUGGAAUGGCUGACUAUCGAAUAAUUGAAUUGGUAAUUUUUUUUGAUAAAGUUAAGACUUUACAACAAUAUGAGUUGUAAUUCUAAAUAUUCGAUGGUUAAAUUGAUGGCACGCCCCAAUAAUGGACUUCGAAAUCUCUCAAUUUAUUUUGAUUUUUUUAUGUCGAAUAAACAUCUAAAUCUUAAGUCCAAUUUGAAGGCAAAAAAUUGUGUAGAUCUUACUUUACAAAGAACAUUACAAUUUUAUUUACAUUGCAAAUUAAAAAAUCGAAUAUUUAUUGCAAAUAACUCCAAUUACCGAAUAUCAAAAAGUUACGAAUAACCAUUUCUGCAGUUAUAAUAAGAAUUUCAAGAAUGAAGCUUGAUAUUAAGGUAGUGGGAGAUGUUCAAUAAAACACUCUAAAAUGAUUUAGAGGAAUAAUAAUGGGUCAAAGAUAAAAGUGGGAUUGGAAGUUGGAUGGCAUGAUAAAUGGGCCCAACUCAGUGGAAGAAACGGUGGGAAUCCAUCAUUACAAAAACAAACAAUUUGCCAUCAUUUCUAUCUGUCCUUUGCUGCUCUAUUUCUAUUUAAUUUUGCGUUGUAUUUUCUACAUGUAUCUAUCAUCUUGUGAGCAUAAAUUUUCUACACGUAGAUAUAGAGUUAUUAAAAAUCUAUCAGCUUGUGAGCAUAGAAAAUAUAAGGGUUAGUUGCAUAUUGAUUCUUAACAAAUUUUUAUUUUGAAUAUAAAUUUUAUUUUAUUUUUAAAUUAUUUAAUAAUUAAUUUUUUCUCAUUUCGCAAACUCAUUUUAUUUUCGGCCAAACUUUAAGCCUAAGUUAAAUGACGUCGUUUCCAUCCAACUAUACAAUAAGACGUUGGUUCUAUGUUUUCACACGGUCAUAUUUAUACGACAUGAGCAUAUUUACAGCAAACGAGUAAAUUUAUGUCAUGUUAUCGCGAUGAAAAUAGAGAAGUAUGCAAAAUGAGAAAAAAAAAUUAAGUAAUUUUAUUAAAAGAUUUUAAAGAGUGCGUGCAAAAUAAGAAUUUAUUACAAAUUCAGUAAUUUAUAGUAUAUAAUUAACCCAAAAGAUAAUGAUACAAAUGUCCGCACUAAAUGUAUAUAGGAGUCCUCAAUGGGACAUCAAAUAGUGCGAACUCCUGUAUGUGAACAGUGAGGUUUAGGGUUUAAAACCCACCGCUCUCCCUCCCCCAAUUCAAAAAAAUAAAAUGUAUACAAGAUAUUUUCAAAAACUAUGAGUUCGAUCGUAUGUUUCAAGAAAUAUGUGACUAUUUCCAAUGGUAAAAAAAAGAGAGGUCCAAGUUAAUUUACCGAUGAGGGAGCCGAAAGCUUGGGUUCCAUGUUAGGUUUUAUCCAUAUUCUUGUAGUAAAUACCAAAAAAAAUAAAAUAAUAGUAUAAUUCUUGUAGGAAAUAUCUUGAACAUUGUUAAUUUUCUCAGUUGGAUCCAAAUUGAAGAUCUAACAAUUAAGAAGUAGAAAUACCUUGUGCAAUAAGAUCGAAAUUGGAAAUGUGAAUGACAUCGAAAGCCUGCAAGAUAGAGGUCGAAGAGUUUUCAGGAAAGAGAUUCUGAUGCUUAAGUAAAUAUCCAAAAGAGAAUUUAGGAGAUUUGAGUGAUGAAGUGAUAAAAAUCUUUGUAAUCAAAUCAAUGAUGUCAUAUUAUUAUAGCAAACAAUCCAUUCUCAAUUUUAAUUCGAAAAGGAGCAGAAGAUAAUUAGUGGGUGAGGAUAUGGAAAACCUAGUUAUAACUAGUGAUAUUAUCAAUAUCGAUUCACUCGUGGACACAAAUAUUUCCUUUUCCGAACUUCCACAUCUUACUAUCAUUAAUUUUAAUUUCCCUCUAAAAAACAAAAAAAAAAUGUUAAUUUGGCUAUUUGUUCACAAACUCUUGCUUUGCAGAUUUAAUACACACUUUAAAAGAUUAAAUGUUGUAACAUUUGUAAUUGAUCUCAUUAGAGGAGAAAGACUAGGUUAAAGUUACAUUAUUUAAGUGAAAGAUAAUGCAAUAGUAGUUAUCAAGUUAUGAGAGUUGAGGAACAUAUUUUUAGGAAGCUAUAACUCUAUAACUCCAUGAUAUCCAUCCAUGACUUGUAACUUAUCCAAAAAAGUUGCAUUUCAAGAUUGCAGAACAUCUAUAAAAGGAUGUCUCAUACUUGAAUGUAGUAGAGCUAUAUAACUUGUAUUUUUUAUACAGCAAAAUCUUUGAUUUUGUCUAAUACUAUAAUUUUGAGAGAUUUGUGAGAAUGAUAUUUUUUACUAUAUUAUUUUCUCAGUUUUUUUUCAAGUCUUUGUGACGUUAGGAUUUGUGGUUAUAGAUCGUUCUAUAAUUCAUGUUUUAAUAUUUUUGUCGCUAGUAAUGACAUUGAUUUAUUGGGUAAUAUAUAGAGGCGUGACCAAAUUUACUCUCCGAAGUUUGAGUAGUAGAUUGAUUAGUUUUACUUCUAUGGAUCAUGAGCUCAUUAUACUAUCGAACUUAUAUAAUACUAUAAUAUAUAUAAAAAAAUUAUUAUGUCAUUAAAAUGAGACCCUCUCCACGUGUAUAAUAUAAUAUAGACUCGAUCUAGUAAAUCAAGCAUGCAUCAAUCAAUUAUUAAUAGUAAAAUCAUUAUAUAUUAUAUAUUUGAGUAAUAAAAUAAAUAACUUAUAUAAAUAAAGCACACUGACAUGAAAAUAAAUGUCAAAACCACCUUCUUGAAUCUAAACCUAGUUUUUUCCUUGUGUUGGGGAACAUUUUUAACCUUGGAAGUUGAUGGCUAUUUUAUUUCCAUUGACCCAUUUCAAUUAUGAUCAAAAUAAAGUGAAUCCUCUAAACAAUCAUUACCUUGAUUGAAAUUUAUUCCCCAUUAGAUUUUGGAUUGCCCUCUUUUUUCUCCCAACAUGUAAAGAAACCCCCUUUUUCUCUCUCUCUCUCUCUCUUGUUUUUAUUUAAGAGAGAAAAGAAAUAGAGAAUGUAUGGUAGGAUAAAAGAGGAUGGCAUGUUGCAAGAAAUUUGUCAUGUCGUGUAAGGAAAAGUGGGUGCAAAAACUUGUUGCAGUGAAAAAGGGUUUAUGUGUUGGAAGGGUAUAUUUUGCAAAUGCAUGACAGUCCAAACAAAAGGAAUUUCAUGAAUUGAUGGCACUCAAAUAAUUUCCACCUAAAUUAUCUAACAAAGUCUACACCUUUUCUAGUUUUUCUUUCUGAAUUUCCAAUUCUGUUUUUACAUUCAUCUCGAUUUUAUUACUUUUAUUUGUUUGUUUUUGGCGGGGAUUGUGAUGAUAUUAUCUUACUAUUUUUUUUAUUAUUUUUCUAAAUGCACGGUUAAUAUUAUAUAAAGACCAAAAAAUAACAUCAUAAUCCACUUUUGUGCGAGUUUAGCUGACGAUAGAAUUACCGCCGUCAAAUUUAACAACGAAAUUUACAACAGAUAAGUUGGUCGUUAAGUUGAUUAUUAUUUGCACUACAAAAAAAUCGUUGAUUACCGACGGCGAAAUGCCGUCGGUAACAAAAGACGGCCGCCGGUAAAUAGUGUUACCGGCGGCAAGAUGCCGCCGCUAAACGGUUCGUCGGCAACGACAAUAACGGCGGCGAACGGCCGCCGUCGGCAGUUAACUGCGGCGAUGCCGCCGGAAUUGUCGUCGUUAAACGGCGGAGCCAUGCCGGAGAAUUAGCGGCGGCAACCACCGCCGCUAAUUACCGAGGGCGUUUUUGCCGUCGGUAGAGAGCCACCGGAGUCCGGCGGGCCCCUGCCGGAAAACUAGCGACGGCGAUUACCGCCGCUAAGUGGCGGCGGCAGAACGCCGUCGGUAACAAGCCAGCGUCGUCCGGUGGUUCUUUGUCGGAGGGGCCCGGGUAUUUACCGAGGGCAAAACGCCGUCGGUAAUUACCGACGGGGUUUUGCCCACGGUAAUUUUUUUAGUUUUAUUUUUUUAUUUUAUUUUAUUUAUUUAUUUAUUUAUUUAUUAUAAUAUUUAUUUAUUUAUUUUAUUGUAUAUCCACAAUUUAUUUCCGUAUUUAUACGGUAUUGCAUACUUUAGACGAACUUCCCAUUCGGUCACCCGACUUCCCAGUGGGUCACCCAUCUUGCUUGUGCUCUGUGUUAAGCACGCUUAACUUUAAAAUUCUUUUCGAGUGAUCACCAGUACAGAACACUCGUAUUAUUGAUAUAUCUACACCUAUUAAUUCAUUUAAAUGCUAUAUACUCACUCAUAUAUUUAUAAUCUUUGAAUAUGUGGAGAUAAUACCUGAAAUAUUUUGUUAAUUAGUGNNNNNNNNNNNNNNNNNNNNNNNNNNNNNNNNNNNNNNNNNNNNNNNNNNNNNNNNNNNNNNNNNNNNNNNNNNNNNNNNNNNNNNNNNNNNNNNNNNNNNNNNNNNNNNNNNNNNNNNNNNNNNNNNNNNNNNNNNNNNNNNNNNNNNNNNNNNNNNNNNNNNNNNNNNNNNNNNNNNNNNNNNNNNNNNNNNNNNNNNNNNNNNNNNNNNNNNNNNNNNNNNNNNNNNNNNNNNNNNNNNNNNNNNNNNNNNNNNNNNNNNNNNNNNNNNNNNNNNNNNNNNNNNNNNNNNNNNNNNNNNNNNNNNNNNNNNNNNNNNNNNNNNNNNNNNNNNNNNNNNNNNNNNNNNNNNNNNNNNNNNNNNNNNNNNNNNNNNNNNNNNNNNNNNNNNNNNNNNNNNNNNNNNNNNNNNNNNNNNNNNNNNNNNNNNNNNNNNNNNNNNNNNNNNNNNNNNNNNNNNNNNNNNNNNNNNNNNNNNNNNNNNNNNNNNNNNNNNNNNNNNNNNNNNNNNNNNNNNNNNNNNNNNNNNNAAGAAAGAGAAUUAAUUUAAUAUCAAACAUUUUAACAAUUUAAUAUGAUAUAUUUAUAUGUAUUAUAAAUUUAAUUGUACCUGUAAUUCAUCAAAAAAUUUAUCCUUCAUCGUCGGGGGCGUCAACUUCCAUGUGUACCCGCCUGGGGUUUUCAAACAUCUUAAAUGUGCACGUGCAAGCUUUGGACAGGCCAGUGGGCUCCAACAAAACACUGUGUACAAGUAAUUUUGUCACUUAAUCAUGGUGUACGAGAAACAGUAAUUUUAACUAAUGUACUUACCCAGUGUCAGGAUGCCUCUGAAAUACCGUCCUCCCAUCAGGUGCCUUAACCUCUCUCUCUCUGAUAGCGGCAGCUGUAGGGCCCCUAGGCCUUCUAGCCCGUGAACUACUAGAAGCAUUGGGAGUCUCGGGAGUCCCAGAAAUAUGCGUCCCAGACCCAUCAGAUGUAUCUGCUGUAGCUUCUGGCGCAUUAACGCCAGAUCGCCUCCCAAAUCCCAACAAACCUCGAGAGGUAGACAUGAUGCCUGUUGCAUACAAUAAAAUUAACAAAUAUAUAGCGAAACGUAACAUUAACAGUAACUAACAAACAUAACAAAUUUGCAAUCAAAUUCAACCAAAAUGUGCAUUUACAUUUAUUCAUAAGCAUCACUACUAUCAUCAUCACUAUCGUUAGAUGUCAACGGGGAAUCAUCGUCUUCUGCUUCAUCGUCAUCUUCAAUCUCAACGACUCCACCGAGGGGAUGAAGGAGAAGUGGUUGUUCAAUGCCUACACUUGUGUGAGUAGGCAUAAUAGUAACCACUUCUUCUUGAAAUGGUUGAUCUAAUGUUGAUGUAGAUGCUGCAGUAGACACUUCAACCUUAGAUCUUGCGUUGACUUUGCAUGCUGACCACCUAAUUUUCUUUGAUUGGUUCGUACUGGGAUAGGGACAGUAAAACACUUGAACUACUUGACUCGCCAAAACAAAGGGAUCAUACUUCUUAUAUCUUCGUGUGUGGUUCAGUGAAACUAACUUGAAGUCUGUAUCAAUAGAAGUUCCCUGAGCCGACAAGUCAAACCAUUCACAGUUGAACAAGACUGUCUGCUUAAUUGGAUACCCCGGAUACUCCAGCACGCAAACCUCUUGCAGACGCCCAUAAAAGUCUAGCACAUCUCUAUCACUACCAUAGACCGAACCUUUUAUGCAAACGCCACUGUUCACAGUCGCACUCUCUCUAUCAUGAUCAGUUGUGUGAAACCUGUAGCCAUUCACGAAAUAGCCGGAGUAUGUUUCAAUCUCCCUUAAUGGUCCAGCUAGCAAGCGACCUAAUAUAAGGGUUCAACUCGUCGUUACAAGGACGACAAACCUGUUUCACACAAAUAUCAUUUAAGUUUGCUAGCCAAUUUUAGAGUAAGUAAAUGUAUAUUUAACAUAAAUUUAUCGUCUCUUACGUAAUGGUUAAACCACAGAAUAACUCGUUGUGAAACGCGACUUCAAACUCUGCAUCAGUCAUGUAAGGAUUUGCAUAUCGUUUUUCCUCCUCGAAGAUACCUUGGAUACAAAGAAUCAAAUAAAUAUGUUAACACCUAUAUAUGAUGAACACUUCUUAUACGUAAAUUGAACGAGAAUACUCACUUGUUAUAUGUCUCUGCAACCUCUGCACAAUUGCUCAAAAUAUACAUGUGUGCAGCAAGCCAUUCGCGCUCAUCCAUGUAUCUCUUCGUCCCUCGGCCAAGUGAACGCCCAAUAGGUUUGAAUAUGGCGAGACAAAGAGGAUCAUCAUUUUCAGCAACGGGCAUCUCAAUAUUGCGAGGCAAAGUUGUCCACUUUGUAGAUAUUUGAUCUUCAAAGUAAAACGAAGAGAAGGUUGACAUUUCUGCAAGUAAGUAUGCAUUGGCGAUGGACCCCUCAACCUUGGCUUUAUUUUUUAUAUGAUUUUUUAAUGUCCUCAAAUAUCUUUCAAAAGGGUACAUCCACCGAUAUUGCACUGGACCAGCCAAUCGUGCCUCAUCUGCCAAAUGAACUGGUAGGUGCUCCAUUGAAUCAAAUAAACUAAGGAGGGAAGAUACGCUCAAGUUUGCAAAGAGUAACAGCUAUCUUCUCACUCAGUAUUCUCAUGUCAUAUAUGGCCACGUUGCGGGAUGUUAAUUCUCUGAAGAAAAAACUUAAACUCUGUAAUUGUCUCCCAAACAUCUUAGGAAGAAGUCUUUAAAGGCAACAGGCAGAAGGAUUUGCAUGAACACGUGACAGUCGUGACUUUUCAUGUUGUGCAUCUUCAGGGCGUUCAUGUCAACGCAUCUACUAAUAUUUGACACGUACCCAUCGGGAAACUUAAGACUCAUGAUCCAUUGAAGUAAGAUCUUCUUCUCUUCCCUGUCAAGCGUAUAACAUGCUUUCGGAUACCUCGGUUCCAUCCACUUUCUUCAACUCUUUCCGCUUGCAGAAGGUGUUCAGUUCUUCUCUGGAUUUUCUGUAUCUUUGUCUUCCCUUCACAUUCAGGACAGUAUUAAACACGUUAUCAAACACAUUUUUCUCAAUGUGCAUGACAUCCAGAUUAUGUCAAAUCAAAAGAUGUCUCCAAUAGGGUAGAUCCCAAAAUAUGCUUUCUUUUUCCACCCUACAUCUUGAUAUUUGGCGAGUUGAGCAUUCCUGCCAUCGAAGUCUUCGGUAACCUUCACGAAGCCUAACCCCUCGAUUUGAUUCAAGAUUUGUAUUCCUGAUCUUUGUUCUGGUGGACCAACAUUGCAUGUCUUAUUCCUCAAGAAUGAAGUUUUGUUUCUCCUAAACACAUGGUUAGGAGGUAAGAACUUCCGAUGAUUAUCAAACCACGAUGUUUUCCACUCAUCGGCAAAGUGAAUGCUUCUGUAUUCUCCAUGCAAUGUGGACAUGCCAAUUUCCCAGCUGUACCCCACCCAGACAACAUAGCGUACGCUGGAAAAUCACUGAUAGUCCAUAUCAGAGCUGCUCGCAUCUGGAAAUUUUGCUUCAACGAUAUGUCGUAAGUGUUCACACCAACCUCCCACAGAGAUUUUAACUCUUGUAUCAGUGGCUGUAAGAAAACGUCCAACUUCAUCUUUGGGUUUGAUGGGCCAGGCACGAGGACUGUGAGGAACAUGAAUUGUUCUUUCAUGCACAACCACGGAGGCAAGUUAUACGGCGUGACAAUAACUGGCCAAGAAGAAUAUUGACGCCCUGAUUGUGCAAAUGGGGCAAAACCAUCUGUAGAGAGGCCCAAUCUCACAUUUCUGAUCUCCUCGGCGAAUCCAGGAAAGACUGAAUUCAAAUGUUUCCAUGCCGGAGAGUCGGCCGGGUGGCGCAUUAUCCCAUCGUCUGUGGAGGUCGCAUGCCACCGCAUAUGUUCAGCAGUUGCAGGAGAUGCAAACAAUCUCUGCAAUCGGGGCGUCAAGGGAAAAUAGUGCAUCUGUUUGGCGGGCACUUGUUUCUUUCGGCGACUUCCAGAUGCACGCAAGCUGUCCUUAUAUCGUGAUUGGUCACAGAACAUACAACUAUGUAGCUCACUAGUUUCCCCCCAAUACAACAUGCAGUUAUUAACACAGCAAUCGAUCUUCUCUACUGGCAAACCCAAACCACGUAGAUUUCUUUUCGUACUAUAGAAGUCUUCUGGACGGUUGUUACCCUCUGGUAAAGCAGCUUUCAUCAUCGAAGACAUCUGAUUGUAAGUCCUCUCUGACAUGUGGCUUUCAGUCUUUAUGCUCAUGAAUUGAGUCAUCCAGCUUAAUUGUGUGUACGUGUCACAUCCUGCAUACAAUGGAGUAUCCGCUGCAUCCAACAUGUUAUAAAUCUGUUGAGCGUCAUUAUUGGGCGGCUGCUCCAGAUUUGGAGGAUCUUGAUAAUUACUAGGUCCAGACAUGGUCAUGCACCAUCCUUUCGUAGUUAUUGUAUAAUCCAUCAUCCUCAUUCAUUAUAGCAUGUUCUCUCGGCAUAUACAACGGUGCUUCCCCGUCGAGAAACCCAAACUACUGUAAUUCAGGAUAAAUUCACGCCUACUAACAUGUUUCUGACCGUAGGUACAUCUAAAUACGCUUGAUUCUUGCACUUCUUACACGGGCACCUAAUGUUACCUUGUCCAUCUGUGUACGCCGUUUGAUUUCUCGCCCACUCAAGGAAAAACUCCAGCCCCGUUUCAAAUGCAGUACGAUCAUUGUAUCUCGCGUACAUCCACAUACGAUUAUCACUCAUUCUUGCAAAUUCUAAUUAAAAAAAAAUAAAUAAAAUAUAAUAAAUUACUUGAAAACAAUCAUUUGUUGGGAGAAGAUCCUUAAGAAAUAAUCAAUUUCUACCCCAAAGAGAGAAGAUUCUUAAGAAAUUGAUUAAAUCUAUCCCACAAUAUAUAUAAUAACAUAACAUUUCAUAAACUCAUAGCACAUAACAUUUAAUUUAACAAAAUUAUCCAACAUAUAUAAAUUAUUCUAACAAACAACUUAAACUAAUUGAUUAAAAUUAAUAUAAUUUAAAAUUAAUCAUGCUUCAUAAUUUAAAAUUAAACUAACAACAUAUAUAAAUUAAUUAAAUAAAUUAAAAUUAAUCAUGCUUAUUAAUAUAAUUUAAAAUUAAUCAUGCUUCAUAUAAUUUAUUUAUAAACAAAGCCAAUUAUAAAUUAAUUAACUAGAUCUAACAAAUAAAUCUAUUUAAUUAACAUAAAUAUAUAAAUAAAUUAAUAAAUAAAUAAGAGAAGCGUACGGUGGUGGUUUCCGGCUGGGUGUCGUGAAGAAGGCGGCGAAACGAGGUCGUCGAACUACAAUGAAGAAUAUAAGUGAAAAUUAAAUAAUUAUAUAUAUAUAAUUAAAAUGAAUUAAAAAGAAGAGAGAGAGUUACCUGGGCGGCGGUCGGCGACGGCGGGUGGAGACCGGAGCAGCAGCAGCAGCAGGAGGAGGGGGAGGGGUUUCGUGUGCGGCGCAAAACUGAAAAAAGAAGGGUUACGAGUGCCCUAUAUAUUAUUAAUUACCGACGGCAAUUACCGCCGCUAAUUAGCGGCGGCAAUAUCGCCGUCGGUAAUGGUAUAAAAUUAAUUAAUUAUUGCGUAUUUUAAAAUUACCGGCGGCGUCGCCGCCGCUAAUUACCGGCGGCGAUUUUGCCGUCGGUAAUUGGCCGGUGAUUGCGAAAGGGCGGGUCGCCUGAAAUGUCGUCGCCGUGCCGCCGGUAAUUACCGACGGCAAAAUCGCUGCCGGUAAUUUUCGCCACUAUUUUCGCGUUUUUUUGUAGUGUUUAUUAUAUAAUUAAAAUAAACUCAUUGAGUGAAACUAUAGUGAAUGUAUUAUUGUAAAUAAUAGAUCUUCCUUUUUGCUAAUGAAACCCGUGUUUGUAUAAUUGUAUGUAAUGAGUACGUGAUUAUAUAUGUAAGAUCAUUUAAUCAAAUUAUAAACCUCCCUAAAACAAAAUAUAUUUUUAAUUAUUUUUGUUCAAGAUAUCGGAAAAAUAUAUGAAAUGCCAUCUAAUAAAUAAUUGUCGCCGAAAGUUCUCAUUAACUAAAACAAAUAAACUAAUAAAUGUAAAUAGUAGCCAGUGAAAAGUAGUGACAACAAAUUUUCCUUAAGAAAAACGAAUUUAGGAAACCUAUUUAUGAAUAGGUCAGAACUCAAGUCUUUGGUCUAGUGGUGCAGUAUAUCAAUACUUUGAUAAUCGGAAGAUUCCAAGUUCAAAUUUUGUCAACUUUUGAAGUCUUGUUACUUGGAGCGUGGAUAUUAUGGUUAAUGUGUACUGUAAAUUCGAUUAGUGUAGUCUUUUUUUAAAAAAAGUUGAUAUCUGAAGAUGAAGCUCAUUUUGUUGGUAAAACGUUUCUCCUCUAAUUAAUAGAUCAAAGAUUCAAGUCAUUUAAAAGACUAAAAUGUGCAUGCGUUUUUUUUUUUUAUUUGAGAGUAACAAUUUUCAGAAAAAAAAAACUUUGAAUUCUAAAUUAAAAUUUCCAAGCGAAAUGAAAAUGAGCUAGAGUUACGAACUUAUAAUUUGAUAAUCCAAUUGUUCCAUGAUUAUAAAUUUAUUUCAUACUGAACCAAAAUGAAAUUGAGUUGUACACAUUUUGAAGGUGUCAUUCAAGCAAACACAAAUAAAUUUAUUUGUAUGAACUUGUACAAGUACAUAGAACACUCAACUAUGAAAAGGGUUAAUGCUCAAGACCUUAUGGUUUGAAUUCUUUGUAGUGCUGUUUUUAAAUUAUUUAUUUAUGUAAUUUAUAAAAAAUGAUAAUUUUCAAUUUAAUUUUCACUUAACAUAAUAAAAUCGCCUAAAAAAACAUAAACUAAUAAAACUAAAAACGGAUAUAUGUGGCGAAAUAAAUUGAGAUUGUUGAAAAAAAAAUUGGUUGGAGUGAAACAGGGGAUUCAACCUAGCCUAGUCUGAAAGACUGUGUGAAAUACUGCCAAAAUCAAGAAACCUUUAUGUCAAAAUUAAUGUUGCUAAUGUCACAUUUUUGGUAGCUACCUAUUGGCUCUACUUGGUAAAAAUACACCAAUAAGUGCCCAAACUCCCACUGCAAGUAUAUUCACUUACAAAAAAUCUAUAUAGCGUGGCCAUCCAAAAAUUAAGAAAUAGGAAAAAUUUUAAUUUAUUUUAAAUAGAAAUAAAAUUUGAUUAUUUUACUGUAUUGUCUAUAUUAUUAUCCCUCCUUCUCCGAAAGAACUUCCUAGAAGGGAGUGACACAAGUUUUUUAAAAAAAGUUGUUAAGUGUGAGUAAAAUGUUGUUAAGUGUAUUGAAAGUGGUAAAAAGAUGUUAUAAUUUGUAUUGAGAGUGGUGAAAAGUGAAAAAUAAGUGGUGAGGUAUAGUCAAAAAAUAAAUAUGAAGUUCUUUUGUGGACGGAUGGAGUACUUUUUUUUGCAUUUUUAAAUAAUUUUAUUUAUUUUUAAAUUAAAAAAUUACAAAAAAUAACUACAAUGAAAAAAAUAUCGUAAAAUAACUAAAUAUUAUUUUUAUUUUAAAAAAUAAGUUAAAUAAAUCAAUUUUUUUACCUAUUUAAUAAUUUAUGGGUGGCACCACAAUGUGACUGCUUAGAUCACUGAUCCACUUAUUGUAGUUUUACAUUAAUUAUAAUUAUUAUCAAAGAAAGUGAAAAUUAAUCCAAUAAAUCGUCAUUAAUUAUAAUUAUUAUUGAUCGAAAAUAGGUAUGAUAGAUGCCACAAAUUAUGUGUGGCAAAUGUAGUUCCGCUUCUAGUAACAUAGAAUUGCGAGAGAAGCCUCUCUAACAUGCGCCGCAGGGGACACUCUUUCAAACAAGUGCAGCUUGCCUUCACAUUUUGUUCACACACACACACGCUAACCUAUUAUUUCUUUGGGCACUAGUCAACACUUUCAUUAAUUAUAAGAUUUAUAACUUCUAAACAAAAAAGAGAGAUUAUUUUUGAAAGUGUUGCUUCGUCAUGUUGUGCAUUGUGUUGGAACAAUACAAACAACACAAAGAAUAAAGCAGCGGGAAAAAAAAUGGGAAGACACGAGAAGAUACAAAAAGUCUUCAAGUUAUAAAUUAUAACUUGAAGACGUCUUAUGGCAAAAUAACUAAAUAGAGAAUGAACAACUCAUGCUCAAUACCUUUACAAUGACAUAGGUAUUAAACACAUGACAUUCUCACUAAAGAACAAAACUCGGUUCAAGAGUAAUACUCCGAAAUCUUAAAAAAAAAUAACCAGUGUUGUAAAAGAUGUUAUUGUAACAAACAACAAAACACUCGUACAAAGACAACAUGUCUUUCUCUCAAGCUGCAAGCUUUAUGAGAACUCCUCCUUAACUUUUAUAGACGUUUAAACUUGUUCCCCAAGCUUCGAAAAACGUGGCUGCAAGAUGGAUAUAAUGGGCAUUGAGGUGGUUAGGGUUAGACCAAGUCUCCCUCUUUUUAUGAACAACCCACUACCUCUUCUCUCUCCUUUAUCUCUCAAUAAUAUUUGACUCGAGCUUUUAAACCCUACAAAAACAAACACGUGAAAAAGGCAAAACAACACAAUUAAAUUUCAUAACUUUAGAAAAGUUUUAUGCAGUUAAAAAUUAACUCCAACAAUUUUGUUCCCGUACGAGUGUUCUAUGAUGUAAAAAAAUGUAUAUUAAGAAAAGGUGAUAGAUUUACUCUUUUUACUAUUGCAUGAAAAAUCAAAAACCAUAAAAGCUUGAUAUCGUUUUCGUGAAUUCUAAAAUAUAACGCUACAAAACAAGUAUAAUUUCCAACUAAGAUACUUAUUUAGAUAAUGAGUGGUCAUUUAGAUAAUGACAAAUUAUUAUCGUUGUUCAUCAAUAGUACUCAACAUUUUAAUAACUGCAUAUUAAGGUUAUAGUUUAACGCAUCUACAAAAAAUUGAUGAAUUUCGAACUUUUUUUAACAAUGUGGCCAUUAAUUUUAUUAAUUAGGCCACUUAUAAAGACAAGUAAAAUCUUUUCUACAAGAAGAUAAAAUUAUGAUUAAUAUACAAGCGAAGUAGCUAUUUUUGGAAGUAAUAUCGAGGGUUUUGUCUAUUCUCAUAUAGUCCUAUAAAAAAUGAUAGAUAAGUAUAUCAAACACUAAAUUAAAGUAUGUACAUCUCGUGUGUGUUACUAUUGUAACGUUAUAAGUAUAAUAAAUUACCAAUUGCAAGAACGAUUAGUUAAGGUCACAAUGGUUUGUGUAUAAUUAGAACUAAAAUUUUGAUUAUUGUGGGCAUUGUGUUGGCCUAACAAUAUAAUAAUUAAUACUCCCCCCGUCUGCGAUAUUGUUUCCACAUUUGUCAUUUCGGUCCGUCCACGAUAUCGUUUCCACUUCCAUUUAUAGAAAUAGGGUCCACAAAUUUUCACUCACAACAAUAAUGGGACUCAAACUUCACUCACUAUAAUAUUUAUUAUUAUCUACUAUUAUUCACUAUUUUUCUUAAAACCCACGCCGAUAUCGCGGACGAAAAGAGUAUAUGACAUGAAAGAUUUUAAGUUCGAACUCAUAGUAGCAUUUUUGAGAAAAUUUCAUGAAGGAAAAUUAAUUAGGGGAUGUGGUAAUUAGAUACUACUCCCUCCGUCCCAAUAAAAGUGGCCACAUUUCAUUUUUGGGUGUCCCAUUAAAAGUGGCUACUUUCUAAAAAUGGCAAAAGUUUACUUUAAUUAAGUCAACAAUUACUCACUAAUUUGGUCAACAAUUGUAGGCCACUUUCUAAAAAUGUCAAAAUUACUCACUAAUUUGGUCAACAAUUGUAGGCCACUUUCUAAAAAUUACUCACUAAUUUUGAUGGGUCACACUCAAUUAAAACAUAACAAUCCCUUUUUUAAUCUCCGUGCCCAAAAAAAAGUGGCCACUUUUAUUGGGACGGAGGGAGUACUAUACUUGACAACAAAUGGGAUGUCCAUGUGACCAACCUGCCCACGAGGCAUCCCCACACCCUACCCCUUACCCCUAACCCUACCCCAUAUAAGCAAAAUAAAUUGCUAGUGGAGCCACCUAUGUCCUCCCUCCACGUGGCAUCAAAACGAACCAACAACAUCAAUCGGCAGAAAAAUCACAUUUUUUUGGACAGAAGAAGUAUUGUGGAUGGUUUAUCAAAUAUGUAUGGUCUUGUAAUUGCAAUAGUGAUGAUUUAUAAUCAAUGGCAGAAACAUGAAAUUUCAUCUGAAAGACAAUAAUCUGAAUUUCAUAUAUACAUGUGGUCAAGUUAUGAAUUUGUAUACAUAUAUACUCCAUAUUAACUUUUGCUGACUCAUACGAGAAAUCAAUUCACUAAAUGCAGCUUGACUGCAUGAGAUAGUAUAUUAAAUUUGACCUGUUUUUUUUCGAUACAAUUAUUUAAAAAAAUAAAUUUAUUUUAUAGAUGUGUAUGAGUCCAUAUUUAUAUACUAAUAUUUAAUAUAGUUUGAAAUAAUUAUUUAAAGAAAAUAGGUCAAAUAGAAUAAAACAUGCAUCCCAAAAAAUAAUAGAGGCCAAUGGGACAGAUAAAGUAUUAAUUAGUAUAUCCAAAUACAUAAACAAACAGGGGAAAAGUUUUAUCCGGCCCGGUAAAUAAACGAGCUUAAAGAUUGAGAAGCUGAACCAAAGAAAAUAAUGAUGUAUCUAUGAUUAAAACUAAAAAUCAAGAUUUUCGCGUAGUAAUAAGUCUGUAUGAUUAUUAUAUUCGUACUAGCUAGGCACUACAUAUGUAUUACUGGUAAAGUAUUAAGUUGGUGGGAAGGGCUAGAGAAGGAUUUGACUUCGAAUCGAAGGCAAAAGGUUAAGAAAUGAAGUUUUAUUUAUUUUAUGAGUUAGUGUUAUUUAUUUAUUUUGUUGAAGUUUUGCGCUCUAAUGUAAAUGCGAAAUCUCUUCUCCUAUCCUUGUGGGUAGAUUUUGAUUCUAACGUAUAAUUUAUUUUAGGGUCCAUAGUAUUUUAUAUUCCUGAAUUCAACGUUUUUCAUAAAAUAUUUCGAACUUUUAUUUCUCCUAAAAAAUCUUGAACUUUUAAUUUUUUUUUCCAUAAAAUGUCCCACUAUACAAAAUCCGAUGACGGAAAAAUGUCUUCUAUCGCCGAAUCAAAUAUUUUGGGGAUCGUCAUUGUUGGAAAAACAUAUACAUUUGUAUACAUUUUUUUUAUAUAUUAGGAACUACCAUUGUUGAAAAACGCUGAAAGUGCAUGGGAUUUUUUCAUCUUUUUGUCAUCGAAUUUUGCGUAGCAAGACAUUUUAUGGAAAAAACUGAAAAUUCAUUUUUUUUAAGAGAAAAUGAAAAUUCAGAAUUUUUUAACUAUUUAUUUUAUGGAAAAUGUCACUUUCUAUUCCAUUGUUUGGCCGAAUUAUUCAUUAUUCACAACUUUCUGAUAAUAUAUACUCCCUCCGUCCCUGAAAUAAGUUCCUAUUUUUCCAUUUUGGGACGUCCCCCAAAUAAGUUCCUCUUUCUUUCUUUCUAUUUUUGGACAACUACUCCACCACUAAUAAUACAUUAUUUAUUCUUACUUUUCACCACUCUCAAUACUAAUUAUAACACUUUUUCACAUUUUCACCACUCUCAAAACUAAUUAUAACAUAUUUUUCUCCACUAUCAAUACACUUUAUCAUUUUCCUUAAAACCCGUGCCAUCCCCAAAGAGGAACUUAUUUUGGGGACGGAGGGAGUAAUUGAUACCCAAUCUAUUUACUUUUUUUUAAUUGUGUCCUGUAAAAAUUUUCCUGCACCGGGGAGUUGCGUGGAAGUCCCCACCCCUUCCCCAAAAAAAGUUGAGUAACCUGUUCGAUAAAUAAUGAUUGAAACUAUUUAGAUCGACAAUUUAAUAAAAACAAACAGAGCAUAUGAAAAUAUAACUAAAUAAAUAUAAAAUCUACAUUGUCUCUCUUUCUCUCGAAUUACCAGAGGUAAGCUAUUCUAUAGUGCGUUAGAACCUAAUUUCGGUCUCUGCUAAUCUAUGAGUUUGGAGUGGCUGUCCUAAUUUUUUUUUCAGGUCUUUGACGUGCUAAAACUUGAUUCUGGACGAGUCCAUCUCCUUUAGUUUUCUAUAUUAACUGCAAUUUUUGCUCUCGUUUUGUUUUUGUUUGUUUUCUUCUCUCUUCUGAUAGACGAGUACUUUUUUUUCCCUUUGUUAGUAUUUUUUUUACUGAAUUUUCAUUGAAAUGGUUUUCAUGAUGCUCAGUCUUUAAUUAGCGUUUAUGUGAUAUUAAUGAAUUUUUAGAUUUUUUUUUCUCAAUAAAUUUUAAUUUUAAUUCAGCAGAAGUAGGCUAAUCUAUGUCAACCUUCGAAUAAACCAAUCGGCAAUCGCUAUAGAGUGCGUAAGGUACAAUCAAUCAACGUACAACAACGCAAAGCAUCUCAGAAUUUUGUCCAAAGCUACCAUGUCAGCUUCAAUUAAUGCAUACUAACGGCGUCGUACAGCCUUCCCUUAAAUUUGGGAAUAAACAUUUCUUGCUUGCUCGCUCAAAUUGAACUAAAAUUUAAAGAAGCUGUCACUUGAGGUACUCUAUGCAUUGUUACUUGAGCCUAGCUAGCGCUAGGAGUAUUUGCAAAAAGAAUAAUGUUAUUUGAAGAAAGUUUUUUGAAUAAAUAUAGUUAAAUAUUUUUUAAAAAUUAUUUAUUUAUAAUUUAAAAAAUGAAUUAAUUUUAUCUUUUCCAUAUUGUAGUGUUUUUAUAAUUUUUUAAUAAACUUUUUAAUUUUUAUUAUUUUUAACGUAUAAACACUUAGGGCUGAGAAUCGGGUCGGGUUCGGGUACCCGAAGGGUACCCGAACCCGAAAACUGACCGAAACACCUACUCGAUCCCGAACCCGAUUCUGAAAUCGGGUUCCCUAAUACCCGACUCGGGUACCCGAAUCGGGUAUUCGGGUACCCGAAAUUACCCGAUCGACCAAAAUGAAUUGAAAUUAAGCUGCGAGAAUUGGAGAGCAGAAAUAGAGAUUCAAAAGCAAUAAUUAAUCACACAGAUCCAUUAAUCCCCACUAAAUAAAUUCGAAAACUGUUUUUUUAAAAAAGAAGAAGAAGAAGAAGAAGAAGCGAGGGUUGCGGUGGGAGUUGCGGCGACGGCGGGGAUGCACCUGCACGGCUGCGGCGGCGGCGAUUGCUGACUGGGGACACGGGCGGCGGCGGCGAACGGCGAGGCGAUUGUUGACUGGGGACACGGGCGAGGGUUGCGGUGGGAGUUGCGGCGACGGCGGGGCUGGACUCUGGUGUGGGCGAGGGGCGGGGCGGCCGGGCUGGCGAGGAGCGAGGGGCGACGGCUCUGGAGUGAGAGCCGAGAGGUUAGGAGUUUGGGAUUGAAGAAUAUUUUCAGGGGUUAGAUUGAUUUGGAUUGAGGUGAGGGCCGGCGGGCUGGGUUGGAGUUUGGGAAUUGAUUUGGAUUUUGGGGGAAAGUACAAAGCAGUACAGGGGCGGGUGGGAAAGUACAAAGCAGUUUGGGAAUUAGAUUUAGAAUAUUUUUCAUAUUUAAUUUAAUUAAAUAGUUUAAAAUUUAUUAAUUAAAAAAUCGGGUAAUUCGGGUAUACCCGAUACCCGAUUUUUUCACACCCUAAAUACCCGACCCCGACCCCGAUCCCGAAUUUUUCGGGUAUAGGGUACCCGAUACCCGAUUUUUUCGGGUCGGGUAUCGGGUACCCGAUUACCCGAUCCCGAAAUUCCCAGCCCUAUAAACACUAUACAAAAUACUUCAUUCAUCCUAUUAGUAUAAUGUUCUACAAUUACUUUUGGCACGGAUAUUAAAAAAAAGUGUAGUUAGUGUAUAAAGUUAGUUGGUGGAAGAUAUUGGAUAAUUAUUUUAAGUAAGUUGAUGUAUAAAAUGAGUUGGAUCCACCAGUAAUAAUAUUUUAAAGGGUUAAAUGCAUGUAAUAUCACUAACUUUGAUCGAAUUCAAAUCUAGCACGAAUUUACAAAAUUCCAUUUUUACAUACCAACUUUAAUCCAUAUUCAAUUUUUGCACCAAUUUGUUCUCCGGUGGUGUAAAAAAGAAAAAGACACGUGGUGAUGACACGUCUUCCAAAUGACGUGCGGAUAAAUAGAACAUUGUCAUAUAAGUUAAUUGCGAUUCGACAACGUUGAAUCAGUUAGGAGAUGUGAACGACGUCGUUUUCAAUCUUAUGAUGUAAUCUGAUUUUGGCCCAAAUAGAUUUAGGGAUUUUCAUAUUCCCUAGGAGUUGUACAUGCUUCGAGGACUGUCAUCUUUCUCUCACGUCGUAAUUGAAGAUUCCAACACAAAGAAAGUUCAUUUCAAGUAGCUUAUAGUUGUUUAAUCGGUGUGUGGUCCCUGAAGAAUACGUCGGGGAAGGCAACCGCUGCAGAAGGUGGUCCUUACUUGAAGGAAAGCGUUGUAUUCGUAUGGUAUUAAUGUCCGAAUUAUGUACGGGAUCUCCAGAAUUCUGUGCAUAACUUGGCUCCAUUUUUUGAGCAUCGAAACUGUGCACAACAUGUGUAUUGUAACUAAAAGAAGAAAUUUAAAGGAACAACCUUAAAGAACAUCUUUUGAAAAACAGUAAGGAGCACAUAUCAAGAAGAAUCAGAAGACCAUGAGACAAGAACGACGAAUUAGAAGACAUCAUGCUUAGGAGGCUUCGAAAGGAAGAAGAUGACACUCUCUUAUAGCUUAGAAACAUGAGAGAUACGAGAGAUAGAUGAGUGAAGAAGAAAUAAAAUUAGGGUUCUAAUGUGUGUAAUGUAUUGAUUUAUAUUUGUUUCAUAUUUCAUUUAAAACGAUAAAGUUUUAAAGCUAACAAAACACAACGUUUUGCUCGUCGGCCAAAAAAUACUAAAGCGUGUGCCGACAGGCCACAUCAAUGACACAUUGAUACGAGGAAAAAGAGAAAAGCAAUGACCUAAUAACAAUCAUUGAGAGUACAGACUUUAGGCCUUGUUUUUUUUUUUUUUUUGAGUAAGACUUUAGGCCUUGUUAAAACCUGUUUAAAGAAAAUUCCAUAGAAAAAACUUUAAGGAGAAAAAGACGCGUGUCUAUAAAAAAUAAAUAAAUUAUGUAGUGUUUGAGAGGAUUCCUGGAUUCGAACUGUCUAUAACUUUUGUUCAUAAUCAACAAACCACAAAUUAAUCACACUUAUAUCAUUGGCGAAUGGCGAUAAAUAGGAACUAACCACAAACUUAACGCUAAUAUCUCCCAUUAAUUAUUUUGUGCUUACACAAAAUUGCACGGUAUUUAUGAUCAUUUUGGAUUUGUUAUAUAAUUAGACCUGAUCAAGGUUAUGGAGCUCAUAGAUCUUAUGUAUUUUGUAAAUUUAUAAACCCGAAUGUAAAUCCAAUACUAUAUAAAUACAAUCUAGAUAUCCAAUUGGUCAUAUGCGAACAUAAUUUUCAAAUUUACACAUUUAAUUUCUUAGGUCAUUUAGUAGCACAUAUCGAAUGUAUUUCAUCGAGGACACCUACUAUAAUGGUAAAUGGCUUCUCUCACCACGGCCUUUUUGAUUUCUCGAUACCUUUGCUGUCCACAAAAAAGAAAGAAAAAAACUUUAGAAAUAGAGAUUGGGAUGCAAAAUUUAAGAAAAAUUAAGGUAUACUUAAUUAAUGAGAAGAGAAACAUUACAGUACCAUAAGGUAAUGAGAUGAGAAGAAAGUCAAUAGACUACCAGCAUAUCUAUAAAGAAACGUAAGAGUUGGAAUUUAAUUUGUGAAAUUGUAGAAGGAAAAAUCAAAGUAGGAAGAAGAAAGUGAGGUAGCGUACGAGUGAUUCGACGCGUGGACAACCAUCGAGAAUGGCUUGAUAGCCUUUAUUGGUGAUGGUGGAUCCGAAAAAGCCAAGGCGAAGAUGAACCAAAUUGGGCAUCACUUUUGCAAUGGCUACUAAAUAAUCGUUGCCAUUCCCCACUCCUGAAACGGCGUCGUGUUUGAUGAGCGUGAAGGACCUCAAGCUCAAGCACUCAACGCCGAUGGCCUCCACGUCUUCCACCACCAUUUGGUUCAUGAACAAUAUGUGCAACUCUUCUAGCUCUCUGAAUCUCUUCGCCGCCGAGCUCACCCCUUUUCCCGACACAUUCUUGCAGCACGACAGCCGCAGACGUUUCAGCUUACUUGAUCUAAAUUCAAAUUCAAAAUUAAAUCACUACCAACAAUUUCAAUUUCAAUUUCAAUUUUACCUUUGGGAAAUGUAGUGAAGAAGUUCAUCGUUGCCGAAUACUCAAUAUUAAUGUCCAUCAGAUCCCCGCCGCUCCGGUCCACGGCGCGCCGACACAUGCUCCCGAGGCGGCGCGUGUCGUAGCAUGACCCCGAGUUCUUCACGUCCACGACGCGCCACAUGCUCGGCUCACGGCACACGCUCCGCCACGUCUUGCACACCUUCUCCGCCGUCUCCAGCAUCUCCGCCGCUCCCAGCCUGUGCAGGAUAUCCGCCGUCACGUCUAACGGCAGAUCGAUCCACGGCGCGAACGACGGAGGAGCCUCCGCCGCCGGACUUUUCUGCUCCGGCAACUUUCCAAAUCUGAACCUCUUUCUCCGCCAUGGCGGGAAAGAGUGGAAAGUCACGGAAAGAGUGUGAUUUGCGUUGUGGGAUUUGAAUAUAUAUUAUAAUAACCGAGGAGAUUAAUUUUUUCGAAUCACCAAAUUAAAAUUCAAUUUGAAGAACAAGUGAACAACCCUGAUCGAUGUAUGUUCAUUUAAAAAAAUCGUACCUUGUACCAUGUUACGAUCUUCUCAAAUUUGAUCUUGAUCUUGAUUCGAGUUUUUGGAUCUUCCAUCUUGAGUCCUUAAUUUCUCAUAUAAGGGAUGAUGGAGAAAUAUAUGUUAAUAAGUUGUCGAUCUCAUCGUGAAUUUUAUUUGAAAUUUGGGGGAAAGAGCAAUUUAUUACUAUACCUUGAGAUAUGACUACAUUUUGAUUGAGCUUUGAAUCAUAGAUUUCGCAUGUUGUGCAGGCAAUGCAUCAUCCACGAAUUUUGUAUUCUAUCUCUGUUAUGUGUUCUUCAGAUAUACAGUGUGUGCAAUAUAUACGUGUUAUGCUAUAUCACAUAUACGUGUCAUGUUAUCUAUAUAUUACAAAAAAUAGUCUAUUUUUACCAUUUUUGAAUACCUAUAAAGAUUAGUCUCUUUGAAAUAAAUGAGGAGGGCGAUGCUUAACGAUGCUCUUUGUUUUGGUGGUUGGGCUUCGUCCCACAUACUAGUUCAGCCCAAAAUCAGCACAAAGAAUUGCAUUUGUUGAUAAUAUCAUUCUCCUUUAUCCUUCCUAACCUCACUUGAUUCAUUGUGUAAAUGCUAAUAAUCACUUGCGAUCUAGUGUUUUUAUUUUUUGGGUUCUAUCACUUUUUAUUUUUAUUCAUUUUUGUUUCUUUCUUCCGUUUCAAUAUAUUGUGUUUUGGUGUAAUUCGUACUUGUUAGUUACACUAUGAUAUAUUGUCUUUUAGCAUUUAAUUUUAUUUUUUACUAGUUAAUAAAGUUGAAGCAAAUAACGAGAAAAAAUCAGUUAGUUAAGCUCACUCACUCAUUUUCGAACUCUUUUCAGUUAGUCCUUAAUUAGUUACGGAUUAUUCGGGCUAAAAAAUCAGUUAGUCCUAUCGAACUCUUUUCAGGCCAAUCCUACGGAUUGUGGUGUUCUUAGUUACGGGUUAUUCGGGCUAAAAAAAUUUCACUCAUAAUUUUAUUGAAGAUUCGUGUAGUGGUUUGGAAUUCUGUUGGAUUUUUUUAGACUUUAAAAAAUUUAUGAAUUUUCGUGGAUUUAGGAAAUCUAUAGACUCUAUGCAUAGUUUUGCUGACUUUUUUUUAUUGACUUUCAUGAAUUUUCAUCGACUUGAUAGGAAUUAGAAAGGCAGCAACCCAGCGCCUCCUGGAGCCCUGCUACCACUAGAAAACGCUCAUAAACGUGAAAGGAGGUCUAAAUGGAUCAUGCACGCAGUCUAGAGAAGAUGAGAGAUGAGGGAAGAGAUGUCAAAAUCAAAAAAUCAUACUUCGCUUUAGGUAAAUUAAAAAAAUAAAACAUUACAUAUGCCAGCAACGUGUGACAAACUUGGUGGAAAAAAAAACGGUGAAUUAUAAAAAUAAAAAAGUGAUAAAAUAAACAAAACAAACUAAAAGAGCAUGUAAAAAAAGCAACAAAAUCAUAAAAUUCUUAAUUAAAAGCAUGGGAAAAAUCAUAAAAUUGUUAGUUAAAAAAAGGAAACAAUAAGCGCUUAAGGAAACAAAUAAAUAAGUGAUUAUUGUUAGUUAAAAGGAUUGAAAAAAAAACGAUAUAAAAUUGUUUAGUUAAAAGAUCGCGUACCUUUGUUCAUAUUUUAAAAGAACCCACGUAAAUCUCAUGUGAUGAGGUGAGAUUUCUCUCUUUGUAUUUUUUAAGGAGAAUCCAACAAAAUCCAUAAAAUUUUAAAAUCCACAAACUUUUGAAUACCUAAGAAUUUUUUAAGACUUUUUAAAAGAAACAAUAGGGCCGAAUGGCCCUAUUCAACAUACAAGAUCAAAUUUUGUCCACCAUUUGAAAAAACAUAAAUUUUGGCCAUUUUUUGUAUGUCAUGACUAUUCUACCCUUCUCUCUCUCCUCUCUCUUUCUCAUCUCCCUCUCUCUCCUCCAGCGGCUCCUCUCUCUUUCUCAUCUCCCUCUCUCUCUCUCUCUCUCUCUCUCUCUCCAGCGGCUGCGCGGCAGCGGCGCCGAGCUUGGAGAAUUCGUCGGAGCUCUCGCGGCGGUGGUGGAGGAGAUCCUCCCUCUCUCUCUCUCCAGCGGCUGCCGCUCUCUCCUCUCUCUUUCUCAUCUCCCUCUCUCUCUCUCCAGCGCGCCGCCUGGGCAGAAUUCGUCGGAGUAGAGGAUGAGGCGGCGGCGGCAGAUCUGGUCUGAUGAGGCGGCGGCGGUGGAUCUGAUCUGAUCGUUGCGCCGCCUCCUCCAUCGGCAGAUCUGAUCUCCGCCUCCUUCGAUUUCAGCCAUGGCAGAUCUGAUCUGAUCUGUGUGCUGCACGUAUGGCACUUAUGGCACUAUUAGUGCCAUAAGUGCACACUUCCCCCUAGGGUUUAGAUAUUCCAUUUAGGCUUUAGAUUAUCCAUUUGAGGUUUAGAUGUUUCAUUUAGGGUUUAAAUGAUGUUGUUGUUUCUGUAUUUGUGCUGCACGAAUGGCACUUAUGGCACUAUUAGUGUCAUAAGUGCCCAAAAUGAUUAUUUUACUUGGUUUUAUUUUGGAUUUUCGUUGGCACUUAUGGACACCAAAAUAAAACCAAAGUAAAAUCUUGGCACUUAUGGCACUAAUAGUGCCAUAAGUGCCUAACCCGACCCGACACGCGACCCGCGUGCCUGAUCUUACCCGGUCCGCCUCAUUAAGGGUAAAAACGUCCAAAUCAAUAAAAAUUGUCAAAAUUUGUGUUUUUUCAAUGUGUGGCCACAAAUUGUGUUUUAUGCUUCAUUUUGGCUACUUCAAAAUUUUACUCUUUUUAAAAUCCAUAUUGAAUACCUCUAGAUUUUUAAAGACUUUUAAAAGUCUGGAUUGAAUAUCCCCAGACUUUCAAAGUCCAAAAAAAUCCUACAGACUCUACAAUCAAUACACCCCCCCCCCUCAGUCUAUUUCGACCAACCUACGAGUUUCAGGCUAGAUUGAAAUUCCCAAUCAAGGUAAAUAAUUUUUUUUGAAAUGUUGAUUUUUAAUUAGUAAUAAGUAUUAAUUAUAAUUCAUUGCAUCAGUACUAACUUAUAUUUUAAAAUAAAUAUUUAUUUUAAAACUUUUGAGCACAUAAAUUAAAAAGAAAACGUAAAUACAUGGAGACCGGAACCACCUUAAUACCUUAUACUAGAACAAACAAUACAAUGUUUGCCAAAAAAAAGAACCCAAAAACGAGAUCUUUAAAUUCACUGCUCUCAAAUACAAAUCAACUUCAGGUUCCAAUCACAAAAACGAGUUAAGCACAUACCACCUUCUCGAUUCCGUCGUGAAAUUAAUUCCUGGUAUUGCACAGCAAAACUUGAGUCCAGUUUUUCGUCGGCGAGAAUAGCAGCGGCUGGGCAGAGAAAAUUCGAAGUCAAUUUGAAUUACCUUUGAAUUCGUAGAGAAAAAGGUAAUUUGAGGACAAAUAUCUGAACUCAAGUACGAACAAAACGGGUGGUUUGCGUAUCAGAUUUGAAUUUGAGGGCAAAAAUGAGAUUUGGGUUCAAGAAAAUUCGGGUGGUUUGCGUAUCAGAGGGGGGGUGCCGUAUCUGUAAACGGGAUUAAUCUCGCCAAAGAAUCAUGGGCCGACUGUGUUACGCUCGACGACACCAAACGCUAGUGCAAAGUUGUAUUAAUAUGCUAAUACAACAAGAAACAGGGCAGCAAACAUGCCCUUAUAGUAAGUAUCACACGGAUUUAACUUUUUACUUAUUAUAUUUUGAGAAUAACAUUUUAUUCUUCUAUAAAACAUAGAUAAAAUCAUUCAACCUAAUGAAUAUAAAAUGGUCAUUUUAUUAUUGUAUAUAUUAUUAUAAAAUACACCAUUUUAUUAUAUGGCUCCUGGUAUUAAUUAUACUAAAUAUAAUAAAUAUACUUUUUUAAGAAUUAAAAUGAAAAAGGGGAAAUGAAAUAUAAAUACAACUGCAACUAUUUUUCAUCUAUAGUAACUAAACAUGUACAAUCUCAUUACUAAGAAUAUAGCUUUUUACUGGGAUUGUUAUACGAUAUAAAUAUCUUAUAGUAAUUCUUGUAUAUAAUGAAAUAUUCAGAUAAUAAGUAUACAUAUUAUGAGACAAACAUUAUACAUAUUAAAAUUAGGGUAAAUAUCAUGAAAACCCCUGAACUAUACUCACUUUAUCAAAAAUACCCUGAAACUUUUGAAAUGUUUUCUAAACCCUCAAACUAUCAGGUUUUUAUCAAACAUAUCAUGCAUCUAUUUUUCAGUUACCAGAAACGUGAUGUGGCUCGCCGGAUGCCACAAUGUAAUUUAUAUUCUAUUUUUUUUAAAUGACAUGGAAAAAAUAACUUCGUUUCGUACCAUAUUCUACCGUGUUUAUCCAUAAUUCUAAGUUAUUAGCAUGAAUUUCAAACACAAUAGAAGUUAAUUUUAAUUUCAGAGUGAAUUUUUUAAAAAUAUGGUACGAAACGACAUCGUUUUUGCCAUUGCAUNAAUUUGAACUUUAGGCACGAAGAAAAAUCUUGAUCAGUUGAAUGUCAAGUUCAUGAAGGAACCACACUAUAUAUUUUUAGGUGAAAAAUUAUAUUUACGUUUGGGAAAGGGUCGUUACAAGCACAAAAUAUCUACGUGUUUAUCCAUAAUUCUAAGUUAUUAGCAUGAAUUUCAAACACAAUAGAGUAAUUUUGAAUUUCAGAGUGAAUUUUUUUAAAAUAUAUGGUACGAAACGACAUCGUUUUUGCCAUUGCAUUUAAAAAAAAUAGAAUAUAAAUUACAUUGUGGCAUCUGGCGAACCACAUCACGUAUUUGGUUAUCGAAAAAUAGAUGCGUGAUAUAUUUGAUAAAAAUCUGAUAGUUUGAGGGUUUAGAGAACAUUUUGAAAGUUUCAGGGUAUUUUUGAUAAAGCAAGUAUACUUCAGGGGUUUUCAUGAUAUUUACCCUUAAAAUUAUACUCCCUCUGUCCCAUGAAAUUAGUCCCUUAUUCUAUUUUGGAUAGUCCACUUUUCUAAUUAAUACUAUAUAAAAAAAUAUUAUUUUACUAAAUUAACCUUAUUUAAUAUUUCACUUAAAUGUGAAAAUGAUGUGUGAAAAUAAUAAAUAAGGGUAUAAAAAGUAAAAAACAUAAAAAUUAAAUGAAUUUUCUUAAUAUGUGUGAAAAGUUGGACGGACUAAAAUGGUGGGACGGAGGGAGUACAAAAUAUAUUGAUAUGAAUAGAAAUAAAAAAUAUUUUUAAAAUAUAAACAAUAAUAUAAACAUAAAUUAUGAGUAUUUUAUGUUUUUAUUUUCUUUUAAAUGAACUAUUUUGAUAUUGGGUGAAUGCUAUUUGUAUUUAACAAUCCUACUCAUCAUUAAAUGGUACUCCCUCUCCAUCCACGAUAAAUGUUGUAUUUUUGCUAUUUUUGUUCAUCGACAAUAAAUGUGAUCUUUUCAUUUUAAGAGAUACUUACUCCGUCCAUAAAAAAAUUUCCUAGGAGGGAGUAGCACUAGUUUUAAGAAAAAAGUUGUUGAACGUAUUAAAAGUGGAGAAAAGAUUGUUGAGUGUAUUGUAAAUAAUGAAAGAAUAUUUUAAUUAAUAUUGGGAGUGGUGAAAAGGUGAAAAGUAAUGGUAAUGAGAUAUUUAUAAUUGGUGGGGUAUAGUCCGAAAAUAGGGGGAAAGGUCUUUUGUAGACGUCCCAAAAAUGAAAAAUAUGAAGUUCUUUUGUGAACGAAGGGAGUAUAUAUAUAUUUAUACUUUACCUCAUUCACACACAAUAUUUAUAAAAAAUCUUAUCUCACAAUCCAUUUAUCUAUAUAAUAUAUAAAAGAGGAGUUUUUUUCCUCCAUUAUUUCCCUCUAUUUUUUUUUUCUCUCUUCUUCCACCAAAUUUUUCAGUAUUUUCUCUUCUUUUUUAUGAUUUUAAUUAUUUUCUAAACAUCACAAAAUUUUAUUUAUGAAAAAAAAAUAUUCAAUAUGCAUCUUAAAUUUAAUUUUCUGACAAGUUUUUUAAUAUGGUGAAAACAAACAAAUCAUCAAAAAUGAAUUUAAAACGAAUAAGUUAUGAAAAUUUUAAGAUAUUUUAUUUUCUCUCUCUUCGCUAAAAUUUUAUAAUUUUUUUUAUUUAUAUUAGUCCAUGAGAAUAUUUAUUCAUUUAAUAUGCCGUGUAAUACUUUAUAAUAAUAAUGUGUAAUGUUAAUUUUUAUUAUCAAAAAAUUUGAGAUUAUUUAAUAACUAUGAUUAUCAUUAGAUAUUAUACAAAGUUAAAAUUUGUAAUUGAUGAGGUUUAUCUUUAAUUUAUUUUUAAAAUAUAUUUUGUAUUUAAUUAUAAUUUAUCUAAUAUUUAUAUAUUUUUAUUUAAAACAUGUGGUUAAUUUCGAUGUUCGUCGUGCAUCGCACGAAUGGUCAUACUAGUUAAUUAACUAACAAAUCAAUUCAGUAAAGUCUUUUCUUGACUUUAUACACAUGUGUGAUAUUUUCUUAAAACCUGUGACCUUCCAUCCACAAAACACUUAUCGUGGACUAUGAUGCACGGAUUCUUCAAAAAUUAGCAUGUACGGCGAAUCGGAUUCUUUUAGGGUGCGAUUCUCUCGGAUUCUCGUCGGAUUCGCACCCGAUUCGCCACGUAGCGUAUCUUUUAAAAUAAUUUAUAAAAAUAAACCGGAUUCGCAAAUUCCAUAGGUGAAAUUCACGUAUCUCAUGCACGAAAGGCCUACACAAGAUUGAUUUUGAUAAUUUUAUUGGACUAAUAAUAUUUGAAUCGUUAUAUUGUUGCCCAAUUAACUUAUAUAAUUGAAAAUGCUUAACUUUUUGGUAAAAUAAAAUGUAAAUUACAUAUAAUUAAUUUAAGAAAAUUUAAAUUGUAUAUAUUUUAUAAGCAUUAUAUAUAAUAAAAUUUUAAUAAUUAGAUGUAUCCUUGACGAAUCGCACCCUAUAAUUUUUUAGAAACUCGUAUCCCCGUACUCGUAUCGUAUCGCCCCCGCAUCCGCACCCCCGCACCUAUGCAACAUAGAUCGUGGAUGAAGAGGGUAGUAUAAUGUAGUUUCUAUAAACAAUUUUUUUGUACUUAUCGAGGAAGUAUACGUAUGAAUUCGAUGUGUAUAUGUAUGAAUUGCAAAAAAUAAUGUUUUUGCUACUUAUGAGAUUCAAACUCAGGACCGUAAAUUCAAUCGACAAAGUGAUGAAUCAACCGUAAAUCUUGAUGAUAUAAGGACUGAAAAUAAUUCAUAUUUUAUAUUUUAAAAUGUAUUUUUAUUUUAACACAUCCCUAUAUAUAUAUAUAGGGAAAAGUUCCCUUGAGAAAGCUAUAUAUUGUUAAAAUUGAGAAUAAAUUUGGUCCAUUAGAUUUUUAUCUAUCAACGAACAUAAUUAAAUCUAUUGAGAUAAGCCGUUUUAUAGAUGUAAGGGCAUAAGUGUAUUUCCUUAUAGUAAUUCGUAACGUAUGAGAUCCCUCAGUUUCCGGUAAGUGUUUGACUUUUUUAUGUGUACUUUUAAAAUUGUUUGAAGAAUACCCUAUAUUAACAAAUUAGAUUGUAUUAUAUUCAUUCUUAACGUUUUCAAGGCCACAUGUUUUUCCAUAUCGCAUAUUAGUGUGUUUGGCUUAGGGGAUAAAGCUUAGUGCAUGUUUUAGUUUACCCAUUAGUUAACCCAAAAUAUUUUUUAGUUGUUAAAAUAUUAAAAGACUGCAUUUCAUAUAUAUUAGGGUUAUUUAUAUAAAAUCUGUGUAAAUUAAAUAAUAAUAUCUCAAUAACCAUCCACUCCCAUUAUUAAAUACAGAAUGAAAUUUUGAAUAAAUAAAAUACAAAAUUAGAUUUUUUUUGGCAUUUAUUUUAAUAACAGUAUUUUAACAAAUUAAAUAGAAUAUUGUGCUCAUCAUUAUAUUCAUGUGUUCAAACAAUUUUUGGAUACGUUCAUUAAUCAAAUUUUCCCAUUUUAUCGACAUAUACAUUAAUAAAUCUUCUAUAUUCAAUGAUAGAUAUGGGAUAAAUAUCAUUUUAAACCCCAAACUAUUUUCGCACUAUCAAUUAUAUCCCUUCUAUAAUCAAUGAUAGAUAUGGGGUAAAUAUCAUUUUAAACCCCAAACUAUUUUCGCACUAUCAAUUAUAUCCCGAACUAUCGAAAAUAAUUUUUUAAAUCUUGAACUAUUAAUUUUAUAUCAAUUAUAUCAUUGAGAAAAUAAAUAUUUGAUGCUGUCUAAAUUUGAUUUAAAAAUCGGAUACUGGCAUAUCAUCAUCAGCAGCAGCAUCUCAACAAUUAGACAAUGUAACUACAUUCAAUUCAACUCUAGAAAGAAAUUAUCUCAACAAUUAGGCAAUAUAACUACAUUCAAUUCAACUAAAAAAAGAAACCUACAAUUAACCAACUACAAAGAUGAACGGCUGAUCAAAGUUACAAUACAUAAGGAAUUGCUGCAAACAUCAUCCAUUUUGCAAAUCCAACAUUUUUACACGAUUGAAAAGUAGGACAUUGUAUCAGGGUACGAUAAACUAGACGACGCUACAGCAGAUGAAAACCAAUGAAAGCUCAAGAACCUUAGUAUGUCCUCACUUACCAAGUGUCGUGGUAAUCGAAAUAUUCGCCCGAACAAUCACUGGCUCCAGAGAAUUCAAGAUAGUCAUCGUAAUCAGACACUAAAUCCAUGUCAGAGAAGCCAGUUAUAUAGUCAUCAUCUGAUGUUUCAUAAUCAUAUAUAUCAGCAUCAAAAGGGUAAUCAUCAGUUGAGUCAUGGGGGCGCCUCAAGUCUCUAAUCCUCUGCGUGCACAAUCUGCCUAUGUUCCCACCGAAGUGGAUGUUGAAGCACUGCCUCAGAUCAAGCAAUUCAAGAUGAGGACAGCCGUCAAGAAUGGCCUGCAAGCCUUCAUUUGUCAUUUUGUUUCCAAAGAGUUGGAGAUGGCGUAGUUGAGGCAUGUUUUCUGCAAUUGCUCGGGCAUCCAUAUCACACACGAGAUACUCCUGCUUGUACCAGCGGUUGUUUGAUGUAAAUGACUUCAAGUGCGGGCAUAAUCGGCCAAUGGCUUCAAUAGCUUGUGCAUCGAUAGAAGUGUAGUACAGAUGCAGCUCCUCCAGCAGAGGGAAUUUUUUAACUGCUUCGAUCAGACCAUCACCUGUUAUGCCAUAGGAAAAUACAAGUUGAAGACGUCUGAGCUGACUAGAUCUGUAGAAAUGGGAGAAAACCAAACUCAGAUAGAAGAUAACUAAAAGAUCUCAAUAUAUGCAUCAAAUAUACAAAUGCACAUGAUGCAGAAUAUUUCCAGCAGAUGCCACAGCAAAACUAACAAUAAUCCAAGUAAAGAUUCAUUCAAUUAGUCAAUAUGUAGCUCGGAAAAAUGAGAAAUAGAGACUUUGUGUUCCCAGCAUCAUUCCCAUCUUCAUGAAACGAAACAUAAAUUGAAUUCCAUUCAUGACUGCGAAAUUAAACAUUAUUCCUUGAUUCUAAAUCAUCCUUCAAUUCCCUCAUAAAUCUGCAAUCAUGCAUGGCUCUUUUACAGCUGAGAAACAAAAUAAUCUGAAAUUCUCACAAAAAUCUCGAUAUUUGCCUCAUAAUCUGCAAACAUGGAUGACUCUUUUCAGAAAAAAAAAAAAAAAAAAAUAACAUCAUCUGAAAUUCCCACAAAAAUCUUGAUAUUAUGUCAUCCUUCAUUUUUCUCCAUUACUUUCAGUCUCAAACAAAAUAAUCAUAUGAAAUGACCGUGAAAACCUUGAUACCAGAUCAUCCUAGAUUCCCUCAUAUUUCCAAUCUCAAUCACAGCUCUCAAAAACACAAUCAUCCAGUAUUUCCACAACUACGUCAAAGAAACCAAAUUUACGCCAGAAAAUACCACUUAAAUACAAUAAUAUCACGGCAUUCACACCGUUAACAAACAAAACGAUGAAUGGGUGCAAUUCAGCGAAAACAGAGCUCAAUACACCCUUUUCUCUACGGAAACCAAAGCAGAAUGAAAACUUCCGCAAUAGAUUGAAGCUAAUCUACAGAAAAAAUUAGCACACAAAUAAUCGAUUUUCCAGAUAAAUUGCAGUCAUUUAAGCACAGGAAAAAACAGAAUUACCUCUGAGAAAUGUAGUGCAGUAAUUCAUCGGUACCAAAAUACUCAAUAUUGAUAUCAAUCAAUUGGCCCUGGCUGCGAUCGACUGCGUGGCGGCACAUCUUCUCCAAAUUGUACGGCAUGUCCCAGAGAUCGCCAGUAUUUCGCAUGUCGAUGCACCGCCACAUUGAAGGGUCUCGGCAAACACUCUGCCACGCAGUGCAUACACUCUGUGCAGUCGUCAGUAUCUCGAUCGCCCCCAACUUGUGCAGAAUCGCCGAAGUUAUCUCCCGCGGCAAUUCCAGCCACGGCGGCGCCGCCUCCUUCGGGCUCGACGAGGACGACAUCUGAUCUUCCGUUUUGGGGGAUUUAACGUGUUUGAUUUCGGGGGAAGUUUUGAAUUUGGGAUUUGGAAAGGCGAGAUUUUUAGGGUUUGGAGAUUGAGUGGAUUUUGAAGGGUGCAAAAUGCUUCUGGAGUAAACGUUAGCUGAUAAAUGAAUCGCACAAGUUCUUUUUUUUCCUUUUUCUUGAACAAGUCAAUCUUUUGUUUUUUCAUGUCCUUUAUUUUUUUUUCCCUUUUAGCACAUUUUCUUAUUUUAAUAUUUUUUAUUUUUUCAUAAUACUGUAUUGUGAAUAUUCUUCUUUAUUUUUUAUUUCUUUGACUCAAAUCUAUAUAUAUAAAGAGAAGUAAAUAUAAAUAAAUUCAUUUAGAAGGGUAUAAUUGGAAUUGGAAAAAAUGAAUAACUAAAAAUGAAAUUCAGUAUAUAUUGACUAAACAUUAAAAAAACCAACAACUGCCGUGUAACAAUACAAAACUGUCAAAUUUGCAUUUAACAAAGUCCUUUCAUUAUUUAAACAAUUUUUUUUUCUUUUCUUAUUUUGUAGAUAGAAGUGAUAGAACACAAUUUUCCAAAUUCAAGUAAUUAUAUGUAAGAUCAAAUAUGUAAUUAAUCUACAUCUUGAAUUAAAGAUCAUAAAAUGACCUUUAAUUAGAUGUACAAUGUGUAAAAAAUAAAUUUAAAAUGAACAAGUUAUGAUAAUUUAAAGUUGUAAUACAUACAAUAACUUAUAUUUGUAAACAAUUAUAUUUUCCUUCAAAAGUUAGUGAUCUUAGAAACCCUAUUUCAUUUCUUAAAAUUAUAAAAUUAUGUAUUUUUAUUUAUUUUAUAUCAAAAAAUUACUAAUAGCAUAUUAUGUUAUUAUCAUAAAAUUAUAUAUAAUAAUAUAUUUUAAGGAACACUAAUUCAAUAAUCUCAUUUAAUUAAUUGAAUAUUAAAUUAUAUUAAAAUUAUAAAUUACAAUUAUGUGUACAUGAAUUUUCUCAAAUUUUCAUCUAAUUAAUUGAUUAUUAAUUAAUUCUUUAAACUAUAUAUUAAAAAAUGUACGUAUGUGUAUUAAAUUUUUGUUGAAUUCAUUAAUCAUUUAUUUAAAAUAAAUAAUACUAAAAUAAUUAUAAAUUAAAAUCUAGCAACAAAUAAAUUAUGUGGAGUUAACUUAAAUUUUCUACAAAUAUAGAAAGUUAAUGAAAUUAAAAGUCAAAUAGAGACAAUUAUACAUAAGUUACAACAUAAUAUUUUAAAAACUAUUGCAAAAUAAGUGUAAGUUCGUGAUUUAUUUUACAAUUAACCAUUCGAAUGCACCAUUGAUUUGUCUAGAAUUACUUUUGUUAAAUAAAAUAUUUUUAUUUUCUGGAGUAUGUUUUUUUAUAUUAGAACGAUUAUCUUGAUGGGUAUUAAAAUAAGUUUUCAUAUAAUUGAUAAUUGAUACUUUCAAAACUAUCUACAUUUAUCUCUCUAAAUAUUUAUUUAUAUAUGUUUGUAUUUUAUUGUUUGUUGUUAUUUUAAAUCUAUAAAUAGUAAAUUUUAAUUUUAAUAUUAUUAUAUUAAAUUAAUAAUUAUAAAGUGUUUCAUAUAUAUUGUUUUAGGUAUCGUGAUAAUUACAAUGCUAUUUUUUUUUAUAAAAGCAAAUGAUGUUUGGUAUAAAAUAAAUCAUCCCGUAUAAAUGAUACUUUUACCGCAUACAAAUGACAUUUUAACAACAACAAAAAUAAUUUUCUUACUGGUAAAUGAUAUAUUAUAAAUAAUAAUUUUAAUGCAUACAAAUAAUAUUUUUAAUAAAAAAAUUGAUACUUUAUCAGAUUGACCAGAGCAAAAGGGCAAAGAGGGUGGAAGGCAAGGGGGAGGGCUAGUAGGCUGGGCCCAAUAUGGGCGUCGAGAUGCACAAAAAAUUUGUUAAGCUUAAUAUAUGCAAUGUAUGUAUAUUUCUAUAAAAUUUAAUAUUUUAUUAUUACUUAAUAAAAGUAAUAGAUUUUAAUAUUUUUAUAUUUAUUAAUAAAAUAUUAUAUUUAGAACACAUGCAAUAUUCCUCGUGCAUCGCAUGUGAGGCGUACUAGUGUAUAUAUAUAUAUAUAUAUAUAUAUAUAUAUUAUAAAUUANGUAGUAUAUAUAUAUAUAUAUAUAUAUAUAUAUAAUUGUAAUUUUAUAAAAAAUACUUUUCACAACUAAAAAUUACAUAAUUAUAUUUAAUAAUUCAAAUUCAAAUAUAUAUAGUUAAAUACAAAAAUAUUCUAGAUAAAAAAAUAGUAAAUUAAAAUUUAUAAUGUGGCGUUAUAAAAUUACUAUAUGAAUAAAUCAUUGUAGAGACAAAUCAAUCAAAGAAGUAGAUUAAUUUUAAAUAUAUUUUUUUUAAACUAAUAGUAUUAGAUAAAGAAAUUUAAAAGCUGCACUACAUGAGAUUCGAACCCAAGACCGUUAGCCUUAGGCAUUAAGGUCUUAUCAUUUGGCCAACACACGCACACAUGAAUUUUAACUUUUUAUGCGGGCAUAGUUGUACUCCCUCCGUCCACAAAAAGUGUGUGGUGGAGUGGAGAGCACAAGUUUUAAUGAAAAAGUAGAAAUGUGUGAUUUUAGUGUUAAAGGAUAGUAUUGGGCCCACCAAAUUAUAAAAGUAAAUGGUGAGUAUUUUGUAAAUAUUGAGUGUAAAUAGGGUUUAAAGUAUAAAGGUGAUUUCUAAAAAAAGAAAACACGCAAUCUUUGCACACGGGUGAAAAUAGUAAUAAACACAUAAUCUUUGUGGACGGAUGGAGUAUAAGUUAAUUUUCUUGAUACUGACAUAACCAUAAUACAAACAUCUAUAUCUUGUUGUAAAUAUUGUAUAAAUUUAUAUUUACAUAAUAAUUAUAGGGAGCUUUGCUUUUUUACCCAACUUUUAAAAACUAUAUUUAAGAAAGGACAAAUAGCGUCAAAAUCUCUAUAGUUUUGCCCGUUUCGCAUUUUUUCCAUGACUUAAAAAUUUCUCGUUAAAAGCCAUGACUAUUGCUCCGAUUCUUGUUUUUCCCUUAGUGACGUUUUUCGGCCAUUAAUUAGAUGACAUGUCACCAACGUGACACACUUAUGCUGAGUAGGUUAAUUAGAAGCUAAACGACGUCGUUUUGAGUCUAACCUAAUAGCGUCAAAAUCCUGAAGUUUGGCGCAAUUCUUGUUUUUCCCUUGACCUUAAAAUCUCGCGUGAAGGAACUACGGAGCAACGCCAACAUAUUCUCCGACGUCGGAAACUCUACAACAAUUUAGAGCAGCGAUCAAUACUAUCUUAUACUUCUUCCAUACUGUAUAAAAACCCUAGUAUAGAGACAUAAAGAGAGAGAGAGAGAGAGAGAGACAGACAGACUAGUGAUGGGUCCAUUGUCCUCAACACGAAUUGAAAACCACAAUUCCAUGGCCAUGGCCACAUACUACUCGAGCGUUGGGGUGACAGUUUUCGCUCGAUGACGAUAGGGAAGACAUGACAAUAUUUCGUCUUCAAUGGCUGAUAGUGGUUUGGGGAUUUUUUUUUGGUGAAGAACCCCUAAUUUCAGUUUGAUUUCAUUUAAUUCUCAAAGAAAAUAUAAAACGACAACGUUCUAUAUUAUGAAUUAAACACUGUCGUCCAUUUCGACGGAAAAUUAAGCCUACGUAGAUUUUUGAUGGCUAUGUCAGCAUAAGUUUGGGGGAAGAUCGGUUUUAUGGGAAAAUUAAUAAUCGGGAUUAAGUUCAUGAAUUUUAACGAGAAAUUUUUAGGUCAUGGGAAAAAUGCGAAACGGGCGAAACUAUAGGGAUUUUGACACUAUUUGCCCUUUAAAAAAUACCCACUUUUGUUUUGCUACAUCCCAUAACCUUUGUAAAUUUUUUAAUAUUUCACUAUUGUUGGGAACUUAAUGAAAUAUCCUAGCUCUAGUUUGGAUGAUACCAAAAUCCUUAAGUGUUCUUUGUAAUAGACUAAAACUUUUCGAACUCAAGUGUUGGAGUUCCUUUUCUAGUUUAGCUUGUGUUCUGAAGACUGAAGACUGAAGACCGGAGGAAUGGAGAAUGAAGAACGAAAGACUGAAGACUGAAGAGCUCGACUGAUAUUGCGAAUAAAGGCUGAGUCAAGCACUGAUGUUUGACUGAUCGCGUUUCUCAGCUAAAGGAUCAGUUGCGAACUGAUUCAUUAAUGUAGGCCAUGUGGAAUCAGCGGACUGAUACUAAAGUCAAGUAUCAGUUAACAUUCUUCCUCGUACUGAACCUCCAAAGUUAAAAGGAAGCCACGCACUCCCAGAGUACAGCCGCAUUAAAUGCAAAGAUUUUAAGGAUCUUCCUUUCUCUGCAGAGCAUUCCUUUUUGGUGACUACCUUUUCAGAGAUGUCCUAUCUCCUAGCCGUUCUCACCAAACAAGGAACCUCGAAGAUUGAAGCCUCAGCGAAAUUCAAAAUACACUCCAACAGAUGAAUUCUUGAAGACCAUCUCCGCCAACGGAUCUAUUCAAGACCUCUCCUAUAAAUAGAGCUCGAGGAUCACUUCAAUCUUCAUCGAUUCAAAUGCAUAAGCUGAAACGCUGCCGAAUUCGUUACUCAACAAAUCAAAGCCUUCCAAAGUUUGAAUCGAAGAAUAGAAUCACAAAGUCAAAAUCAGUCCACUACUGAUACAUAUAUUCUCUUAUAACCUUAGGCAUAUAUUGUUUAUCCAAAGUCUAAGUUACUGAUAACAGAGAGACUGUUAUCUGUGAUCUAGUUGGUAGUUUUCGAACCUCAUUUCAAUUGAGCGAAAAGAGUGUUUGAAGUUGUGUGGAGUUCAGACCAGUGUUCUGACUCCAGAGAAAUCUUAAUGCCCAGUGUGUACUAAGUGUGUUUAAGAAAUCCAACCCAGUGUGUUGGUACUGAAACGUGUGAUUUCAGUUCAAGGUUUGUUGUGCACCCGUAAGCACAAGCCCAGAGUACUUGUCAGUGUGAUCAACUGACCGUGGAUGUAGGAAUUGGAUUCUGAACCACGUAAAAAUCCCUUUAUCGUUUAUCGCUUUCAGUCUUUACUUUCUUAUUUGUGCGCAAAGUCUUUAUCAACUGAAACUGAUUAACUGCAAAGUGAAACUAAAUCUUGACAACGUGCUUAAUCACAAAGGCUAUUUCUUAAGUAAAGUUUUCCGCUGCCAGUGUUAUUAGUUUAACUGUUAAAUUUUCGGAUAGUCAGUAAGAUUCAUAAUAUUCCUCUGUUUUACAAACCUGACUGAAGCCUAACACAUAUCAGUUAAAGUCUAGGACUUAACUGAUAACUCUUUACUGAAGAGAGAAUCAGUAUCAGUCACCAACCGAAGUUUUGCUAAACUCUUUGGGGAGGACUUACGUGAGCGCAUGGUGUGAGCGCGCAUGGUGUGAGCGCGGGUCUAGGUCACGACCCGACCCGGAUCCGGCUCCACCUUAAAUAUUAAAAAAAAAAUUAUAACUGAUUUUAAUAUAUUAUAUAAAACUGUUAAAGCAUUGAAUAUCAAGAGAGCUCUUAGCUCAGUUGGUUUAGGCUCCACAGCUUAUGCAAGCUAGACCUGGGUUUAGGGAUGGCAGUGGAUCUUGGACCCGGUCCAGAUCCGUGGAUCCAGAUCCGUUUCUCAAUUUUUCGGACCCGACGGAUCUGGAUCUGGAUCUCAGUUUUGAAAACGGAUCUGGAUCUGGAUCUUGAAAUUUUAGAUCCGGAUCCGGCCCAGAUCCGACCCGUGGAUCCGUUUUAUUUUAUAUAUAUUUUUUAUAUUUUAUAUUUAGUUUACUAAUAAUAUUAACUAAAUUAAAAUAAUAAAUAAAUUAUAUUUAAAAGAAUAAAACUAAAAGUAAUUAGAUAAAAGUAUUUUGUGUUAUAUUUUUCAUGAUGGAAAUUAGAUGUUUUUGGUUUUGUGAAAUUUUUUUGAUUUAAUUUAAAAAUAGUAGAUCCAUGGAUCUGGACCCGUGGACCCGCGGAUCUGGCGGAUCUGGAUCUGGAUCCAAAAUUUUUAGAUCCACGGAUCUGGAUCUGGAUCUAGUAUAUGAAAACGGAUCUGGAUCUGGUAUUGGUCAGACCCGGUCCAGAUCCGGCCUGUUGCCAUCCCUACCUGGGUUCGAAACCCACUAGGAGCGAAAUUUUGGGCUUCAUUUCAUUUAUUUUGUUAUUUCUUUUAAUACUUGUAGUUUCUUUCUUUUAAGUAUAUAGUUUCAUUUAUUUUGUUAUUUCUUUUAAUACUUGUAGUUUCUUUCUUUUAAGUAUAUAGUUUCUUUUUUUUGUAGUUUCAAAAUAAUACUUGUAGUUUCUUUCUUUUAAGUAUGUAGUUUCUUUCUUUUAAGUAUGUAAUUUCUUUAUUAAAAUAAUACUUGUAGUUUUUUUUUGUAGUUUAUUAAAGUAAUACUUGUAGUUUUUGUUUUUUUUUUGUAGUUUCUUUCUUUUAAAUAUAGUUUUUUUUUGUAGUUUUUUUCUUUUAAAUAUGUAAUUUUUUUAUUAAAAUAAUACUUGUAGUUUCUUUCUUUUAAGUAUGUAGUUUCUUUAUUUUAAAUAUGUAAUUUCUUUAUUAAAAUAAUACUUGUAGUUUCUUUCUUUUAAGUAUGUAGUUUUUUUUUGUAGUUUCUUUCUUUUAAGUAUGUAGUUUCUUUCUUUUAAGUAUGCAAUUUCUUUAUUAAAAUAAUACUUGUAGUUUCUUUCUUUUAAUACUUGUAGUUUCUUUCUUUUAAGUAUGUAGUUUCUUUCUUUCUUUUAUAGUUUCUUUCUUUUAUACUUGCAGUUUUUUUUUUCUUUUUUCUAUAGUUUAUUUCUUUUAAUACUUUUAGUUUCUUUUAAGUAUGUAGUUUCUUUUUUCUUUUCGUUUCAAAUUUUUAAUUAUUUUUUUAUUUUAGUUUGAAAAAUAGUAUCAUUUGUUCUAUAUUAAAGGUUUCAUUUAGUAAGAAAAAUAGUAUCAUUUGUUCUAUAUUUAAAGGUUUCAUUUAGUAAGAAAAAUAGUAUCAUUUGUUCUAUAUUUAAAGGUUUCAUUUAGUAAGAAAAGUAGUAUCACUAAUAAAUGAUAUUAAAAGUUUCGCUUAAUGAUAUUAAAAGUUUCGCUCUUUUCUUUGUUCAAUAUUAAAGGUUUCAUUUAGUUUGAAAAAAUAGUAUCAUUUGUUCUAUAUUAAAGGUUUCAUUUAGUAAGAAAAAAUCAUUUGUUCUUUUUUCUAUAUUAAAGUUUCAUUUAGUAAGAAAAUAGUAUCAUUUGUUCUACAAUAUUUCAAAUGACACUUACAUGUAAAUGACACUAUACUAAACCCUAAACACUAAACCCUAAACAUUAUGACACUAUCAAAUGACACUAUGACAGUUCAAAUGACACUACAAGAUUUCAAAUGACACUACGAGAUUUCAAAUGAAACUUCAAUAAUUAAAAUGACACUAUAAGAUUUCAAAUGUUACUAUGACAUUUCAAAGACACUUCGAAUGACGCUAUGACAUUUCAAAUGACACUAUGACAUUUCAAAUGACAUUAUAACAAUUCAAAAUGACACUAUAACAUUUCAAAUGACACUACAAGAUUUAAAAAUAACACUAUGACAUUCAAAUGACACUACAAGAUUUUAAAUGACACUAUGACAUUUCGAAUGACACUACAAGAUUUCAAAGACACUACAAGAUUUCAAAUGACACUAUGCCAUUUCAAAUGACACUUCAACAUUUAAAUGACACUAGAAGAUUUCAAAAUGAUACUACAAGAUUUUAAAUGACACUAUGCCAUUUCAAAUGACACUUCAACAAUUCAAAUGACACUACAAGAUUUCAAAUGACACUAUGACAUUUCAAAUGAAACUUCAAAAAUUGAAUGACACUACAAGAUUUCAAAUAACACUAUGACAUUUCAAAGGACACUACAAGAUUUCAAAUGACACUACAAGAUUUCAAAUGACAUUAUUCCAUUUCAAUGAAACUUCAACAAUUGAAAUGACACUACAAGAUUUCAAAUGACACUAUAACAUUUCAAAUGACACUACAAGAUUUCAAAUGACACUAUGAGAUUUCAACUGACACUAUAACAAUUCAAAUAGACACUAUAACAUUUGAAAUGUAUAGUGUCAUUCGAAAUGUUAUAGUGUCAAUUUUAAGAUUUCANGACACUAUAACAUUUUGAAAUGUUAUAGUGUCAUUCGAAAUUUAUAGUGUCAAUUUUAAGAUUUUAUGUAGUCCAUUUUAAAUUUUCAAGUGUGCUUUUUGAAAUGUUAUAGUGUCAUUUUGAAAUGUUAUAGUGUCAUUUUAAAAUGUUAUAGUGUCAUUCGAAAUGUUCAAUAGUGUCAUUGCAAAUCUUAUAGUGUCAUUCGAAAUGUUAUAGUGUCAUUUGAAAUGUUCAAAGUGUCAUUUGUUGAAACUAUUAAAGUGUCAUUUUGAAAUGUUAUAGUGUCAUUUUUAAGAUUUCAUGUAGUGUCAUUCGAAAUCUUAAAGUGUCAUUUUGAAAUGUUAUAGUGUCAUUCGAAAUGUUCAAAAGUGUAAUUUCAAAUGUUAUAGUAUCAUUCGAAAUGUUAUAGUGUCAUUUUAAAAUGUUAUAUAGUGUCAUUCGAAAUGUUCAAAAGUGUCAUUGCAAAUCUUAUAGUGUCAUUCGAAAUGUUAAAGUGUCAUUCUAAAUCUUAAAGUGUCUUUUGAAAUCUUGUAGUGUCAUUCGAAAUGUCUAAGUGUCAUUCAAAAUCUUAAAGUGUCUUUUGAAAUGUUAAAGUGUGUUUUGAAAGCUUGUAGUGUCAUUUAUAUGUCGGAGUAGUGUCAUUUGAAAUAUAGUAGUGUCAUUUAUAUUUUGAAUAGCGUCAAUUAUAGGAAUUAUCAUUUGCAAGGUUAUAGUGUUGAUUCGAUGUAUUAAUAGUGUCACUUAACAAGUAACGUUUUCUUGAAGCAGGAAUAUAACUUCUAAGCAAUCAAUGAAACCAUGUACAAGAAGAUAUACUGACAUUCUUCACUUGGAAAUGCAGGCAAAUUGGAGUAUUAUGCAAGUAAGAUCUCAUUGUGCUAGUAGAUAUAUAAAACCUUUUCUUGUAUGUUCUACAUAUAUUUUUCAUCUUUUUGAUUACCUGUUUUCUCCAUUGAACAGUUUACUUGUACCUUGCGGCCUUAGCAAUUGGUAACUUCUCACUACCCUCAGAAUAUAUAAUACAAAAUAUAAUAGUUUCAUUUUAAAUAAAUGAUAGUGUCAUUGUUUUUCUCUCCACCAACUAAGCUAAACCGUGUCAUUUUCUAUUGUUAAAAGUGCAUGUCCAUUAACCGUGUCAUUUUCUAGUGUUAAAAGUGCAUGUCCUCAGAAUAUAUAAUACAAAAUAUAAUUUAUUAGUGUAGAUAGUUUCUUUUACUAAGAAAAAUAAUAUCAUUUUCUAUUAUUAAAAGUGUCAUUUAUCAUUUUAUUCGAAAGUAUCAUUCAUAUGCAUUAAAAGUGUCAUUUGAGUGAUUUAAAAGUGUCAUCAAUAAAUAAACAUUGCUCUCACUUCUAUGAUCCAACAAGCAAGAAAAAACUUGAAACAAACUUCGAAUAUCAUUCAAUUCCAUCAAAGCUAAUCAAAACUUGAAACAAGAAUAGCUAUGUUGCAUCUCUGGUUCUUUUCGACCCUGCCACAUCAUGUUUUUGUUACACUUGUUAAAAUAGCUAUGCUGCAUCUCAGUAGGAAAUUUGAAUUGAAACAAAAACAAGCACACAAGCCAAAGCUACACAACAAUCCACCAAACAACUUCUCUAAGAAAAAUGAAAAUCAGGCAUACGAAACCAAAAUCUGCUACUGUGCCCCCAAAUUCUGGAAUUAGAGAUGCAGUCGAGGGAGAAGGGGAAUUAGGGCUCAAGAAGGAUAAAAAAGGGGUCUUGAAGGAUUAAUGAUGGGUGUCAGGACGGCGGAGAGCCGCGACCGGAGCUGGGCAGUAGAACGACGGCGGUGUCAGGACGGCGGCGGCAGGUGGUUCCCGUCGUUCGACCGCAUGCAAGAAAAAGAAGGAUGCCGCAGCCACGCCUCUUGUAAGUGGUCGUCCGACCGAGAGAGUUGGUGGUAUUGGUGGUGAGAGAGAGAGAGGUGGGCGCUGGUUUACCUGGUAUUUGCUGCUCUGCGGAGGUGGCGCCGAUGCGAGAGGAGGCGGUAAGACGCUGGCUGUUCGGUGAUGGAGGAAGGCAGACGAGACGGCGACGAUUCUGUCCAUGAGUCGUUAGAGAAGAGAAGGAGAAGAUGUCGUUGGGCCCCGGCGGCGGCGGCCGCAGUGCUGCUGUCGUUUGGUUUAGAGAGAGAACCUUCUGAAAUUAGGGGGGGAGAUUUGGGGGGUUUUGAGUGAAGUGGUGGAAGGUAGUGGAGAUGGUGACUGCGGCGGAUUUAAGGAGAUAGAAGAAAAGGGUAGGUUUCCAGGAUUUUUUUUAUAUGAUGGUUCCGGAUCCGGGUUGGAUCGCACCAAGAUCCGCGCGCAUGGGGUGAGCGCUCAAUUUGUGAGGCGCGCAUUUAAGUUUUUGUGAUAAGAAAAAUAUAACUGCGCUUUUUUCCUUUACAAGUUUUCAGUAUUUACACUUUUAAAUUAUAUCUUAAAUGGAAGCUUAGGGUUGAAACUAGCAAAGGCAGAGUAGAAAUAUUGACAUUUUCGGAAAUAUUUAAGUUAUAUAUUGAUUCGACAUAUUCCUACUCUUGACCUAUGAAUAUGAAAUGAAAAGAAAUAGUCACUCAUUUCCACUCUUACACCAACAUGGAAUCCUAUACGAUUUGUGAGCUAUUUUACCCCCUGCCCUGGCCCCACGUGUUAUGUUUUAGGGUUGAUGGAUUAUUUGACCCCAUUUGAACUUCUCCUUAUCAUUUACUCGAUCACAUAACGAUGUGCAUUUAUUUACUAUCUAUAAAUUAUUACUUUUAUAUGUGUGUGAUAUUACAAAAACAAUAGUACAUGUGUGACUAUGCCGGUUGACUUAUUAUCAUGAAUAGAUAAGGGUGUGCAUUCAGUUAUAUGAUUCGAUUUUUGUUAAAAUUAAAUUAAAUCAUACUUUUUCCGUCACAAUCAAGAUGCUACAUAUUUUUUUUUCUGGGCUCCCAACGAAGAUGCUAUAUUUCUAAAUAUGGAAAACAUAAGAUUUUAAUUGCACAAUUAAAUUAAUUAAUCAUCUCUUAUUACUUCUCUCUCCUACAUUAUCACUUUAUUACUUUUUUCUUCCACUUUAUACUUUUAUCUACAAUUUAAAACAUAAUCUACAACUCCUUAAAUUCGUGUCGAAAAGAAAUGUAUCAUCUUAGCUGGAUAAGGGAUAUUUUUUUUCGGUUAAAAAAACAAAACAAAAUCGAACCGAAUUAACCAAAUUAAAUUAAUCAAAAUUUUUAUAAUUAAAAUAAAAUGAACCGAAAAACGAAUUAAUCCAGAAAAAAAAUUGAAAAAAUGAAAAUUCCGAAAAAAUAACUAAUACUCCCUCCGUCCCAAACGAAAUGUCCUCCUUCUUUUGGGCACGCUUAUUAAGGAGGCAUUAUCUACCUAAUCUAGUAGAAUAUUAUAGUACUCCAUCCGUCCCAACUUUUAGUAUCCAACUUUCCUUUUUUGGCCGUCCCACAUUUUGGUAUCCAUUUCUAUUUUUAGUAAAAGUAGGUGGGGCCCUUACUCCACUUUAAUUAUUUUAACUCUCACAUAAAAUGUGGGACCCUUAUUCCACUCACAACACAUCAAUCACUUUAUUAAAAUCCGUGCCGUUCUCAACUGGAUACCAAAAGCCGGGACGAAUGGAGUAUAUUUUAUCAUUAUCCAUCAUUCAUUUUAAGAACAUACAUAUAUACAUAACAACCUAAUAAUUAAAAUUUACAAUUAGGGUUAGAAGAUUAAAAAUUUAGAAGUUAGAUAUUAUAAAAUUCUAAUUAAAUAUGUUAAAAUUUAUAAUAUUUAUAUAUAUGCACUCCAAUGAGACCCCUUAAUUUUCGUGUAACAUGAAGCACGAUCUGGUGCGUUUAUUUUAUCAAUUCUAUGGCUGAUAUUGUAUCUGGAGGGAGAUUUUUUUUCGCAGGCUUCGAAUCCUGGAGGGAGCAGAAUAUUUUAAAUUUUGUUAUUCAUCAGUAUAUACUGCCUUAUUCAUCAGUAUAUAUGUCUUAUUCAUUACCAAUUUUUUAAAUUUAUUUUUCAUCAGUAUAUAUAUUUUGUUCAUUAGUAUUAUAUGUCUUAUUCAUUCUCCUCAUGUUACACGAAAAAUAGGGAGUCUCACUGGAGCGCGCUCCUAUAUAUAUAUANAUCCUGUUGCUGUCGCCGGCGAGCGGCGCCGAGAAGAGAGGGAGAUGCAUGGACUCUAGCAGGCGGCAUCGCUAGGAAAGAAGAGAGAGAUGGAGAACGAGAGAUCGAGGAUGAGAGAAGAGAGUGGAGAAAGGAAACAGUGGUUUUUUUAUAUAUAUAUCGGGUCAAAUGACCCGGUUCUCUUUGUUCGACCCGACCCAAGCCCGCGCGCAUAUUGUGAGCGCACAAUUAUAACGGCGCUCAUAUAAGUUUUUGUGAAACUCUUUUACUGUCAAUGGUUGUGUUGGUUUGUCUUAAGUUUUAAAAUAGCCUAUAGGUGUAUUUCCCCCCCCCCCAUACACCUAUUCCAGAGCUUCCGGGACCUAACAACUAGUAUUGAAAAAUUUUGUUUGUGUCAUACAAAAUACCGUAAUCAUUGACAUAGUGAUUAACAAUGGUUGAAAUCAGCGUACUGUACACUGACAGCUAAAUUGACAGGAGCCAUUUAAUUGAAAUCCUUGUAUAUUUGCGCAAAUUCAACGUGUAGAAUAGACUAAUUUGGCGCAAAAAUAUAAUUAACGCAAAAAUGUAUUUUAAAUAUUGAUUUGCGCAAUUUUCUCGUUCCUCAAUUUGUGCAAAAAUGCAAUUUACACAAAUUCGAGCACUUUUCAGAAUUUUCGCAAAAUUCCAUUAUUUCCGCAAAUUAAUUCUAGUAAUUCCGCAAUAAUUUAACAAUUCACGCAAACUUUGGAAUUCUGAAAAUUAAUAGUUCAAUUUCACGCAAUAGGAAUAAUUUGACUCAAAAUAAUAAUAAAGUUCACGCAAAAACCUUGCAAUUGUACACGCAAAAAAAGUUCCACGCAAUAAUUUCACAAUUCACGCAAAAAAAAAAAAUUAAUUUUACAAUUCACGCAUAAUACUUUCACAAUUCAAGCAAAAAUAUAAAUUUAACAAUGUAAUUGAGGCACCAUUUCAUACACAAUUCAUGCAAAAAUAUAACAAUGAAAACACAAUUUUGCGUUAAUUUUGCAUACACAUUUCACGCAAAAAUAUAAAAUUGAAAUUAGUACAACACAUAUUAAUACAAGUCUGAAAUGUGUGUUGGUGAAUUUACGCAACAAUGUUCAAUUCACGCAAAAAUUGACAAAUUAUACAUAUCACGCAAAAAUGUAAAUUUAAUGUAAAUAAAUUCGGUCAACAUAAAUAAAGCAUAUUCAAACUGACAAAUUCAGAAGCACAAAUAUUUAGGGCACAGAUGCUUGUACCAAAUAUUAAUAAAAAAAUGAAAUAGUUAUGAGAGGUAUUGAAUUUAAAAAGUGGGUAUUGUGUGAAUAUAAUUUGAGAAAGUUAGGUACUUUCAUAUAUUACCACAUAAUUAUAGAUUAAAAAUAUAAGUAAGCACUGUUGAUGUUAUGAGAUUAAAAUAAAAAAUAAAACUGAAAAUGUAUUAUAUGUGUCUAUAUAAGUAUAACUAUGUUAAAAAAAAUUAUCGAUCAAAAAAUAAAUAUAUGACUUUAAGUUAUUUAAAAUAUUUAAAUGAUAAAAUAUGAUAAUUAUAUAUAUAUAUAUAUAUAUAUAUAUAUAUAUAUAUAGUGUGNNNNNNNNNNNNNNNNNNUCCUACUACUAUAUAUAUAUAUAUAUAUAUAUAUAUAUAUAUGUAAUAUAUAUAUAUGUGUUAUCAGUUUAAUAUUAGAACCUCACAAUAAAUUUAAGUAGUCAUUUAUUUACGUUGUCGAAAUGUAUUUGUUGAAGUUUAUUUUGAGCCGAUUCUUGAUUGAAAAAGAUAAUGACUUGAAUUGUAUAUAUACCAAUAGUUGAAAUAAAGUAACUAACUAUCCUUAAUAUUAAUAUGUAUUUAAAUGGAGUGAUUAUGAGAUUUUAUAUAAAAAUAUAAAAAAAGUAUAUUUUUAUUGUAUUUAUAAUUUUUUAUAUAAUAAUUGAGUUAAUAUCUAUUUUAUAUAUAAAAAGAAGGGUAAAUAUCUGUUUCUGACUUAUUGGUUGGGCAUUUUCUCAAAAAUGUCCUACCCUAAAGAUAAUUACAAAAUCAUACCAUCGUUCCAUUUUUUUCCUUGUUUAUGGCCUGCAAAAAUAAUUCGACGAUCGAUAUUUGACAUAACCAAUUGUCACGUUGUUAGUACACGUGUAAUACUAAUAAUAUAAAAAAACAACAUAAAUUCCACAUAGAAAAAACGCAUCUAUACGUAAAGGAAUAGACUUGAACACACAAAAACGUUUUCUCAAGAGAACCCUAUCACUGGCGGAUCUAGCAUGGUGCAUGGGGGUGCAACUGCAUCCCAAAAAAAAAAAAUUAAUAGUAUUAAUAUUCAUAUAUAAAUUAUUUUAUAUUUAAGGUUUGCACCCCAAAUAAAAGUUUUAAUCCUAAAUUCAGUUUUUAAAAUCCUAAAUUCCAUUGGCCCAACUAAAAAGAGAGCCAAUCAUCUCUUUCUUUUUCAUUCUUUUGAUCGAGCCCAUCAGUUAAUCAAUCCUUUACCUCAAUUCUUAAUUAAAUAAAAAAAAUUGAACCUACAUAUUUUGUAUUUGGAAUGCAGAGUUAUUACUAAUUGUAUUUGUAUUUUAGUAAAAAAAAAAACAAAAAAUGUCUAAAAUGUACUGAAGGCCUAAAAAAAAAAUCCCGGGGGCUACCGCCCCCGAACCCCCGUAAAAGUUCAACCCCCUCAAAAAAAUCCUAGAUCCGUCAGUAUUUAUAAGAUUAUUUUUUGCACCCCCAGUUUUUUAAUCUUGGAUCCGCCACUGAACCCUAUUACCAUUCCACCUACUAAGAAUCUCAAUCGUUCUAAAGUAUUCCUCAUUCACCUGUAGAUAUUUAAUGAACACUAGUAACUAACAUUGGCAUAAUGAAACAUUGACAUAUUAUAUGAGUUUGGAGAUGAAAUAUAUAAUCAAUAAAAUAGGGUUGUAGGAGUUGCACUAACAAAACCCUGAAUUACCUCACCAUCAACUAUUAUCUCAAUCAUCCUUGGCAACAUAAUGUUGUUCUUGAAAAAUUUAGCCAGUUUUGAUUCAAUUGCCUGAUAAAUUGCAUGAACAAGAACUUAAUGAAAUCUACUGUAGGGGCAUGUCGAGGCCCGUCGUCAAGACCUCAGGUAAAAUGAUAUUUGUAAUUUAUUGUGCGCUGCAAUCAAAAUCAGUUAAUGGCAAGUAUAAGGUCGAACCCGCAAAGAGUCGGUGUAUCUUGGUACUCCGUAUCACAAAAGUUGAUGGAAUGCACUUUGGUCUAAGUGUCAGGAUUAUGGUCUAGAACAUAAUGUACACUUUGAUUGUAUAUGAAAAACUGAAAUAAAACACAACAAAAUAUCAAUAAUAAACGAAACAUGGUUUGAGCAUAGUCUAGUUAGGUAUGGGUGUAUUUUCGAUCAUCGGUUCAAGGAUAUUCACAGCGCCUUCAUGUCAUUGGUUAUGAGCCGUUUGAUUAGUGGGAUGUGCCCCCAUUGUCACAUUAUCACGAACACAAGCUUAAUCAACCCUUAUCCGCGCCCUUCGUAUUGGGUGAAAGUGGUCUACUUUCAUCCCUCUGCCUUGGUAGAUUCCCUGCAUCAAAACUUGAGUUUGCGGGUAUGCCCAGAACGCAUUACUAAGUAGCAUACUCAAAUGGUCACAGGCAUGCUCAGAGGCAUACUACCACCGCCCGCAUCAGCCACACUUCACGGAAUGGGAGAUCUCCACACUUUUGCCUGCGUACUGUUUGUAACUUGGUUUUGCCCAAUCACAAUUGAUUUUACCAUCUGGGCAAAAUUCACAAUUGAUCUUAAUUCUUAAGCAAUCACAAUUGAUUUUACCAUCUGGAAAAAUUUCACAAUUGACAAAAUUCAAAUCUUAAUUCUUAGAAUUUUGACCAAGAAGAGGUUAGGUUUGUCUUAGCUUACAUUAUCGUUGAUGAGCAUCCAUUUAAGUAUGUCGAAAGAGAGGGAUUUCAAUACUUUGUUUCUAAGGCUUGCCCAAGAUUUAAGAUCCCAUCUAGAUGUACCGUUUCACAUGAUUGCUUUAAGUUGUAUGAGAAUGAAAAGAAUUUGUUUAUGACAAUACUAAAAUCCACCAACCAAAGGGUUUGUCUUACCACAGAUACAUGGACAUCUACUAAGAAAGAGAAUUACAUGUGUUUGACUGAUAAUGAUUGGAAACUGCAUAAAAAGAUUAUUAAUUUUUGUCUAAGUUCUAGUCACAGAGGUAGAGACAUUGGUUGGAAAUUUGAAAAAUGCUUGCAUGAUUGGGGAUUGGAGAGGGUGUUCACUAUUACAGUUGAUAAUGCUUCCUCAAAUGAUGUUACAAUUGGUUAUUUGAAAGAAAUUGUUAGUCAAUAGGAGGAAAAACAUUAGAAACUGUGAUCAUAUGCAUAUGAGAUGUAUUGCUCAUGUAUUUAAUUUAGUGGUGCAAGGUGAUCUUAAAUAGAUUGGAUCUUCUGUGAAAAAAAAUUAGAAAUGUUGUUCGGUUUGUUAGACAUUCUGGUGCUAGAUUGCUUAUGUUCAAGGAAUAUUGUGAGCUGGAAAAAAAAUUUAAGUAAGAGUUUGUUGUGUUUAGAUGUUCCUAUUAGAUGGAACUCGACAUACUUGAUGUUGAAGGCUGCAAUAACAUUUGAGAAAGCAUUUGCUAGAUUUGAUGUGUUAUACCCGACAUAUGGAAUUGAUCUUGUAUGUUAGGAGGGGGUACCUAACAAAGCUGAUUGGGUGAAAGCAAGAAAGAUGCUCAAUUUUUUUGACAUUUUAUCAUGAUGGAAAACGAAUGAAUCUAAAUAUCCCGUUCUCUCCAAAGUGGCUCGUGAUGUUUUGGCAGUACCUGUCUCAACUGUAGCGUCAGAGGCAGCAUUUAGCACUGGAGGAUGAGUACUUGACCCAUUUAGGAGUUUGUUAAGUCCUAAAGUUGUGGAGUUUCUCAUUUGUGGUCAAGAUUGGCUUCACAACUCCUACCCCAAUUGAUGUUGAGGAACUUUAUGAAGAUGUCCAAAAAAUUGAACAAAGUAUAUGACUAUUUAAACUACAUUUUUUUAUAUGUUUUCAAAUUUACGAUUCUCAAUUAAUUUGUAUUAUUGUUAUGUAUAAUUCUAUUUUUUUUAUUAUUUGUGAGUAUGCAAAUUUGAUAGUGCAAGCUCCAACAAAUUAAUCAAUCUCCAUUAAUUGUUGGAACUUGAAAGCUAUUGAAGAUGAUUAGAUGAAUGUUUAUUGAUUUUGAGUUUUGUUAACAUUGAAAGUUUGGACUCUUUUUUUUGUAGUUUGAUGGUAAUUUGUUGUUGAUUUGAUGGAUAUUUAGAAACUCUUUGGUUUGUUGGUUAUGGAUGUUCUUGUAUUUAUUUUGGUGGAUGUGAUGAAUGGAUUUAAUACUUAUGCAAAUCAUAAUUAUUAGGUUGUUAUAUAUACAUCUUUGUUCUUGAAAUGAAUGAUGAAUAAUGAUAAAAUAUAGUAUAAUAUAAUUUUGAGCAGAUUUUUUUUUAUAUAUAAUUUUUUUCGGUUUUCUUAGAAUUUUUGAUUUUUUUCAGUUUUGUUUUUCGAUUUUUUCGAUUUUUUCAGAUUAAUUCGGUUUUUCAGUUCGAUUCGAUUUUAAUUUUAAAAGUUUCGGUUAAUUCGGUUCGGUUUAUUCGAUUUGGUUUGAUUUUUUUAAACCAAACAUUAAUUUGAUUUGAUUUGGUUUUAGCAAAAAUCAAACCAUAUAACCGAAUGCACAUCCCUAGUCCUUAUCCCUUGUAUAACUGCUGCAAUCUAGUCCUGAAAACUGCCAAUCAGUCUGCAUAAUGCUGGUUGAGAUCAUGCUUCUGAAAAGUAGGAACAAACUAGCCCACUAUCUUUAGGCCAUGAUAAAACCAACUUCCAUUUAUUCGAACGUGACCAACUCCACAAGACACAUUAUUCAUGCACUAAAGAAUAUGAAAACAUAAAAGAUAGGGAAAGAUAAAAUACGUGCAAUUACUACUAGUGAGUUGAAGUACAACUUCAAGACAGACACCCGAAAUAUUAGUUGUAUAUCGAAAAUGUUAAUAACAAAAUGUUAUCAAUAUUUCAUUAAACACUGAUGGAGCCAACAUUGACUCUAACAAAAACAUUAUUCAAAUACACAUUUCCAUGAAAUCUAGAUUAACAGCAACCCCAUAAAUCAACUUCGCCUUCUCGACGCCAGAAGUCAUGAUGCACAUUUUAAUGAUGAAUGUGAACGUCAUUUUAUUCACGCCAAUACCUUGAAAAAUCAUCAAAUUGUUAACCUAAAUCGCUCAUUAAUGUGUGUUCUGAUUAACAGAUUCCAAAUGAACGUGGACAUAUAUAUUAUCAAUAUGUUGGAACAUUAGGGCGGUGUAAUUGAACUCCCAAUAUAAAGUACAAAGGCGAAUCAAUCUGGCGACUAUUACUUGGUCGUUGUGGAGAAUGUUGUGGGUGAUUUUGGCGUGGAUUUGUCAUGCGAAAUUUGGGUUUUUAACUCAAUGCGAAAUUUAUCCUGUAAAAAGAUUGAGUUUUUGGAAAUAAAAUAUCUAGUGUGAUAUUGUUUUAUUCAGUAAAAAACAAAGUUUUAUUGGUGGUGGGAUGUUGAGUCCACCUAGACAAAUUCUGACUUCCACGUCAAUUUUAAAUUUGAGAAUUUAAUUUCAUAGAAAAAUCAUAAUAAAUUGAACUUUUAUAUAUUACUAGCAUUUGCAUCCCGUGCAAUGCACGGGAAAAUAUUUUUUAUUUUUUAUAUUUAUAUAAAAAUUAAUACUAAUUUAAUUAUCAUACUCAUAAAUAUAAUAAAAUUUAAUUUUAACUAAAUAUAUUUGAAUUGAAUAUUAAAAAAUUUAAAAAUAAUAAGAAUUUACAAUUAUAAAAUUUGAUAUUAUGAAAGCAAAAAAAGUAAAAAAUAAAAAAAAUACUAAUAAAAAAUUAAAAAUAUAUUUUUUUUCAAAAAGAUGAGAAAUGCGAGAGAAAAUUAUAAAAUUUUAAUAUUUAAACAAAUUUAAUUUUUACAUUUAAAUCAAAUAUUUACAUAAAACAUAUCAAAUUAAAGCUCUUAUCGUGAUCUUUAAUUUGAUAUGCAUAUUAAAUAUUUUAUAAUUAAUCGAAUUUCACAAUUUUGGUAAGAAAUAAAACAACAAAUAAUAAGUUAAAGAGAUGAAAAAUAAAAAGAAAAAUAUAGUUUAAACAUAAACCUUUAAUUUUAUUAUAACUAAUUUUUNNNNNNNNNNNNNNNNNNNNNNNNNNNNNNNNNNNNNNNNNNNNNNNNNNNNNNNNNNNNNNNNNNNNNNNNNNNNNNNNNNNNNNNNNNNNNNNNNNNNNNNNNNNNNNNNNNNNNNNNNNNNNNNNNNNNNNNNNNNNNNNNNNNNNNNNNNNNNNNNNNNNNNNNNNNNNNNNNNNNNNNNNNNNNNNNACUAAUAUCCCUUAAAUUAUGAACAUUGAUGUUAGCACUUAGCACACCGUGCGUUUACUCGAAUAAAAUACACGAGACACCAAAAUCUCCACAUAUUCCGCAACUAAAACACUAUAAAUUAGUGAAACGUAACAAUUAUUAUCUCUUAUCUAAAAUGAAAAACAAAACAAAGAUCUAGAAGGCCGGUCGGUCAAACCUCAAACUGUUACUCGGAAAUAGUUUGUGAAGUCCAAGUAAUUUUUAGGAAUGUUCACAUUAUGGAUGCACAAUUAUGAUAAAAUAAAUAAAGAUUAUAGAUUUAUCCAAUUUAAAUAAUAAAAGUCAUCAAUAUAUUCAAUUGAGAAUGAUUUAAUAAUAAAAUGAAUAUCUAUAAAUUUAAAGGUCUUGAAUUUAAACACUUUUACAUAUUCAAGCUUAUAAUAUCGAUUUUAAAAAUAAUUUACCCGUCUUGUAUAAUUUACAGACUAUUACACAUAUGUGGUUCAGUCAACACGCCAAAAAUAGUGGUUGCAGUUUCCUUAAAAAUAAAAAGAAAUCUCAAAUCUCAAUUCCUUGUGUUUUAAUUUGAUUUUAUAUUUUACAGUUAUUAGAAUGGCAAAUGCAUGUAUCCAUUAAUUUAUUGAGUAAAUUAAAUGUAUAAAUAUUUUUAUACAUAUAGUGGCCUGGUGGAAUAAGAGAAAAAUGUUUAGAGCUCCUCUAUCUUUUUUAUAUUUAUAUGAGAUGGAUUAUUAUAUACAAAUUCAUAGGAUUUGCUUUCAUAUUCGUGGCCGAAGGCUCGAAGCCUACCCCGACCUCCGCCACUACAUAUACAUUUAUUUUGUUUAAAUGAUGAAAACAAAUUAUGCUAUUGUCAAUUCAAGUCAAGUUUGUUUCGGUUCUAUCUCACAAAAGUAGCUAGAAAUUAUGGAUCAAGUAUAACCUUUUAAAUAAUAAUCUUGAAGAUAGAUUUUAUGUGACAAUAUUAAAUCCAACUCGAACUCGAUGAUAGUAAUAACUAAUAAAAGAACAUAAAAUGAUCAAUUUACUAGAUUUUGGUUCAAAUGUGGCUCAAUUAAACAUCAAUUUUAAUUUUACCAAAUAAAUUCAAUUUUGAUAAAAUUGAACAAAUCUAAUAGUAGUAAAAUUAAAACCACACUAUAUAUAAUCCGUUCGGUUCAAUCCAUUUAAUAAAGUGAAAUAACAUACUCGUAUAUGUAAACUUUGGCGCUUAGUCUUGACAGAUAAAAGUAACAAGAUUAAUCUUUUGCUUAUUUUAAUGAAUUGAAAUUUUGAAUAUUUCAAAAAUUUUGAUUAUUUUUAUUAUUUAAAUUAAUUUUAUUUGAUUCAUAUCUUAUUAAAAAAAUAAAUUAAAAAAAGGUAUAAUAAUCAAGUUCAAUCGUACAAAGCAAAUGUCUUGUGCCCCUCUGAUCGAAGAAACACACACAAGAGAAAUUUAUUCCGAAAUCAUGCAUAUAUUGUGGCAGGCACAUAUCCGUCUCUAUAUAUGUAAGCAAUAUUCUUGAUUAGUGGAUAUGAAUAGUUGCACAUGAAGCCAACUAUUGUCUCUCAAAGUCAAAGCCAACAACAGCCAAACAAAAUUUUCGUCAAACCUAAACCAAUAAUCUCGCAAUAUUAACAACCAUUAAUUUAAAAAAUAAAAUAAAAAAUGGCAAAAAGAAGAAGCAAUUCUCUCAUUAGCUGACACCAAACCAGUGCAACACCGACUAUAAACCAGUGUCAUCAUAAUUGAUAAUGCUAUAAAAUAGGAGGAGAGAGAAAGAGGAGAGAGAAGCAGGGGAGGGUCUGCAAAGCAACCUCUCUUCUUUGGAUCUCUCAAUUGUUUUAAUAUAUCAUAGUUGAUUUCAAUAGGUACAGGUAUUUGAUUCAGGAGAGAAAAACAUAAAAAAAGAAAAGAAAAGAAAAAGUGGGUAUUUUCUAUUGUAAUUUGCUGGCCCAUUUUGUUUGUCUUAUAUGUUCUCAAUUUUCUUGAAAAGGUGAUUGAUUUAGGAUCCCUUUUUUGUGUAGUAGUCAAUUUUCUUUUUUCUUUUUAAUUCUUGGUUUGUUUCUUUGAGAAAAAAGUUAUGAGCCAAGUUCGUGCAAAUUCAUCUCCUGACUUGGAUUUUCCCAGUACAGGAAAGGAUCAAAGAUAUGAUGAUUUGGCAUUACAAGGUACAAAUCUUGAUUUUUCUUACGUUGUAGUAAAUGAAAUUUUUUAUUUUUGUUUCUCAAUUUGUUUCAUUAUAUGUCAUGUUGUAAAGUUAUGGCAAUUUCAAUUUGAGAUAUGGAAUUAUGUUGUUUUUAUUGUUCUUGCGCGCGCUCUCUCUCUUUAUCUCUCUGCAAAUCUUGAUGUACAACGUUGUAUUAGGCUUGAUUGUGUUGUUAUUUUGUUUUUCCUUAUUUUUUUUAUUUUUUUCAGACGUAGUAAUAAUCUUGAAUUCAUUUUUAAUUUGAUGUUGCAAAGUUGUGGGUAAUUUUAGUUUAAAUAAGCAAUUCUCUCGUAUUUUUUUGUUUUGCUAUGUUUUUGUUGUUCUCAAUCUAAUGAUAUCGGAAUGAAAUCUUGAUUCUUAGGGAGAAAAAAAAAAAGACAAUUCAUGAAAGUGAUGAACUAUUCAAGUGUUUGAUUGAUGGAUGUUAAAAAAAUUGAAUUGAUAUUUCAGGGGUAGCUGCAAAUGUAAAAUUACUGCUAAAACUAAUCCAAGAUCAUCAAUUAGCCUGUGAUCAUGACAAAAGUGAUCAUAGGAGAAUGUUGAGGGUAGCUACAAUGAUGACAAUUUUGGAUAAUGCGAAGGACAGAAUCCAGAAAUGCCAAUCAUUUGGCCUCAAGAAACCGGAUUCCGAGCUGAGGAGGUGCAACACCGACUUGCGCCGCAAUCCCGUCCCUCCGGGCAAAAAGCCCAGUGGUGGGGCGGGGGCGGUGGCCGUGGUGAUCGAGGAGGAGGAGGUGGACGAGGAGAAGGAGCGGUUGAGGCGCGAGCUGAGCUCGAGCAUAGCCGCUCAGAGAAACCUCAGAGCGAUGUGCUCGAGUUUAGGGAAGGAGAAGAAGUUCAUGGAGGCAGAGCUUUCCAAGAAAGUGCAUGAAUUGAGUGAGAUGGAGGAGCUUUUGAACAAUCUCAAGGCACAAAAUGAGACAUUGCGCCAAAAAGUUCAAGAAUGCCUCUCCGAUCACAAGGAGAGGAAGGCCGGUGGUGGUGGCGGAGAAAUGAGCGUGGCGUUGGUGUUGCAAGAGCGGAACAAGGCGCUCUCGGAGCAGUUGAUGAGGUCUCUUGAUGGUUAUAGAUCGAUGAAGAGGAAGCUCAAAGUGGCGCAAGAAGAGAAUACUAUGCUGCAUUCGACUGUGGAUGAGGUUGGGGCCAAAGUUGUGGGAAGUUUGGAGAGGGUUAAGAGUUUGAAGCAACGAGUGACCACGACGACAUCUCCUUCUGGGGGCGAAAUCCCCCUCGAUCUUCAGGAGGAGAUCGAGGGGUUAGAGGGCAUGUUUGAGUGCUUCCAAAUGUUGGUGGAGAAGCACGAGAAGAGGCGGGGCGACUGCGCGCAACCAAAUGGCGAGAUCAAUGCAUAUAAGCCCUCCGUUCUCGCAUGAGACUGGACCAAAGGAUUUUGGAGGGACUAACUUGAAUUUUUGUUGCUAGUAUUUUUGAUUUUUUGCUUUGGAUUAGUUUCUUUUUUGAUGCGAUGGCAUUGUUUGAAGAUGUGAUAUUGUCUUCAUUGUGUGUGAAAAAAAUAGCUGAUGAUUUCUAUAGGUCAUUAGCAUGUAAAUAGUUGUAUCAUAGUCUUCUUGUUUGAAGGCAACCUACAAAACAUUGGUUUUCUAGUAUAGAACAUUUUUAAGUGAAUGUGAUGCUAUGUUGCUGCUGGAAACUUUCGUGAUGAAAUAUUGCAAUCAUCAAGAAAAUCAUGUUUACGAUGUUUUAUGUAUUGGAGAUGCUCACUGAGUAAAUUAAUUUUAACAAAGAAAAGAGAGAAAAACAUCAAUGUUUAGAGUUUUUAUGUUUUUUUUAGUAAUUGAACGAGUUGCAUUGCUAUUCAAUCUAAUACUAUCUAAUUGGACAUCGAUAAAAAGAAUGCAUUUCAUGCGCAAGACAUUACUCACUAUAUAGAUUGGAGUUAAUCAUGAUUACUAGGAAUGACCAUUACCAAUAUAAAGUAGUGAAAACUAUCAAUCAAAGAGUUCCCAUUGGUUUGCAGAAGGAGAUGGUUCAAAUGUUUCCCAUGUAGUUGUCACAACCGAAGCUGGUACUUUCUGCUUCGCGUUUAGUACCUUCAGCACAUCCAGUUUUUCCACACACUUCUGCACUAUUUUUCCCUGCAAUAUAAUUAUUUUAUUUUAUUUUAAUUUAAUUUGCUCUUACCUUAUUUUUCAUAUAAAUCUGCAUUAGAGGUUUUUACAAUAAGAUAGUUAACUUUGUAAUUAAAAACCUAAAGUUUGUGCGAACUUAACUAUCAAAGUGUGACAAUCGAUAAAUAUAUAGGGGAUGGUCAAAACAUUAAUUCUUGCAUCAAAUGUCAACCGGAUAUAAUAAUAGGAAUGGUUACAGUUUAAUAGUAUUCAAACUAUGGACUAAUUGUGUAUAAUUUUAGUUAAAUAUUCCAACUAAUUGAUCUUGUAAUGAGAAUAUUCCAAACUAUACAUAAUUGUAAUUAAAUACUCGUACUAUCACAAAAUUAACAAAAAUACCCCAAAAUUCAAUCUUCAAUCACUUCACAGUUCGUUAGAUCAUGAUGUGGAUUUUAAAAAAUAAAUUAAAAAUGAGCUAGAUCAAAAGUCAAAACAACGUUACGCUGCUUUAGUGCAUAGAAGUUACAUAUAAAAGAAAUUGAACGAGCCAAGUAAUCUUUUCGCAACUGAAAAUUGAAUAUUUCUGUUAAUUUAUUUAGUGAUACUUUGGAUAUUUAAUACUGGUUAUGCUACGUUCAUAAAAAAUAUAAGAAUAAAGUGUGGUUUCGUGUCCUAAAACAAAAAACCAUAUACUCUUCCUAGAUAUCCAAUAAGGUAAUUGCGCCACACUAUUAAUGAACGAUGGAGUGAGUAAUAGUAAUUCAAGACAUUUUUGUGAAAAUAUCAAAAAAAUCGAAUACUACUUAACUACAUUAACGAGCAUGACAUUAUUGAAUACUUCAUCCAUCCCAUUUUAUUUGAUUUAGUUCUUUUGAAUACGAUUAUUUAAAAAAAUAAAAUUAUUAUAUGAAAAGUAUAUGAUUUAAUAGUAUUUAAUAUAAUAUUAAUUGAUUUUUUGAAAAAAAGAAAAAGAUAAAAUCAAACGAGACGGUUUAGAAAAAAAAAUAAGAAGUGUAAUUAAAUAGGAUGGACUAGGUAAGAAUUGAGAUGAAGAAAUGUAAAAGGAAGGGAUAAGGAUAAGCAUACUUGUGAGUCCUUGUAUGCACAUGCAUCAGCAGCCUCGGCAGCAGGAAUGUUAUCUAGUUUGACAGCUUGUUGCAUCAGCAUCUCGAUCAACGUUGUGAUCUGUAAUUCUGCUACUCUUUUCCCAUUUGCAAUUGAUUUCUCUAUUACACUUACCUAUAAUCCAAUGGAGAUAUCAAUUAUUUUAUUAAUUAAUGAUCUACAUGAUGGAUAUAUUUCUUCAAUGUACUAUAAAAGAUAAGGGGAAUAUUAUACUUUAUGACUUCAUCAUUUGGGUAAGUUUAAACAUAAUAUGACAUUUAACAUCUUUAAUAAAAUUAUACUAAUAAAGUCCUCAAUAAAACAUCAAGCGAUACGAACUUUUAUGUGUGAACAAUAAAAUUUAGGGUUCAAACUCCAUCGUUUCCCCUUCUCCAAGUAUAAAUAAAAUAAAAUUAUAAUAAUUAAUAAAACUCUAGUUUAAGUGAUAAAGUUGAGGUAUCAAAAUUUUCUUUUUGUAAAAAAUUAUUGAAUCAAGUUUCAUAAAUAUUGUGUAAAUUAUAUUUAUGGAUAGUAUUUUUAAGUAUUUAUUUAUUUAUUUAUUUAUUCUAGUUUAUACUAGUUUAAUUGUUGAUUUGACUACAGUACUAGCUUAUUCAAUUCAUUGUUAUUUAUAUUCAAUUUCAUAAUAUAAUAAUAUACUAUGUCAUUUUUGAAAAAAUGCCAAACUAGGAUUCAUAUAUUUUUUUAGAGUAAUGCUAAACAGCCACAUUAUGGCCACCCACAAUUUAUAUAAAUAAAAAAUAAUUUAAUUUAUUUAAUUUAUUUUUUUAAAGAAAAAUAAGAUUUAUUUUAUUAUAUUCUCUACACUGUAGUUAUUUUUUGCAAUUUUUUGGUAACUUUUUUAUUUUUAUUAAAAAAUAAAUUAAAUAAAUUAAGAUUUUUCUUAUUAUACUAGUGUGUGAGUGGCCAGAAUGUGGCUACAUAGAUUUAUUGAUUUUUUUAAUAGAUCAUUAAUUAUUUGUUAACUAAACCACCUAAAAGAAGCAUUUUCAUGAUUGAGAUGGAUUGAUUAUACUAUCAUCUUCUCUCUUUUUCGAUAAACAAAUAAUCUUAAAGAUCGUAUGACGAUUAGGUAUCACACACAAAGCUCUAAAUUUUCCUUCUUUUAAAAUUGCCGCCCCUGAAGAUCGCCUUCUCCGUCACCGCACAGUUGCAUCUAAAGGUCGCCGCCACCUUCAUCCACGAGGAAAGAAUGAUGACCUUCUGUAGAAACGAGGCCUUAAUAUGUGUGCCAACUGGGUCAUAAACCCUAAAAUUCCCAGAUCUAGCAACAACGAGGAAAGAGAGACAAGAUGUGGCGGGUAGAGAGAGGGGAGGUGGUGCAAAAGAAUAGAGGGAAAGAG